UGGCGAAUGAAUGGUGUAUGGUGAUGAUGGUGAUAACAACGGUGAAAGUCUAUUUCUACUUUUGUUCUUUUUAGAGGAUACAUACCUUUCUUGCACUUUGAAGCUUUUUUUAGGAGAAUGAGAUGCUCUAUAUUUUCUUUUUCUUUUCUCUCAGGUGCAUAUCUUGUACCCCUAAUUCUACUGUCGGACACUUGUCUAUUUUUACCUCUCGUCUCACUUUAUCCCCUUUUUAUUUCCUCGUAUUCACUUUUUUUUCAGAGCACUCACCCUCCUAGAAUAAUGUAGCAAGUGGUAGUAACCAAAAUAUCUCGAGCAUUUAUUUCACAGGGAAUAGCAGGGAUAGGAUGAUGUUUUUGGCUAUUCUUUCCUGGAUAGGAGUAGAAUAAUUUUGGGUGAAUCUGGAGAUGGAAAUGAGUGGAUGUAUGUGGAUGUGUACUUUCGGAGUAGAAGCAGCAUGUAUGAGUGAACGUACAAGUGAAUAUUGAUUUUAACCGUAUGACAAGCUCCUAAGGGUCUACACAGCUUGACCACACUCAAUGCUCAUAAACAGUAAAAAGUAAAUGUAUGGUUCUUAGCCUUUAUCAUAUUGAGAUUCCUCCUAAUAAAUUUUAUUUAUUUAGCAGGAUCAUGCACUUAUUAUUUUUAUAUUUUUAUUGUAAGAUGAAAACAUAUUUAGUUUGUGCCACCACAGUCAAUAUACCUAUGGGGUUUAAACCACAAGUCUACUCACAUGGGGCUUUAGAUUUUAACAUUUUUAAUUCCUUUUCAAGAUAGAAUGAUUAACAAACAAGCUAUUUAAGGAAAGUAAAUAAAUUAAGGAAUGUUGAUGCAAAACUGAUCUGCAAACACAAAGGGCUAAUACCCGAUUCAAGCGUUGAGGCGUGCCAGCCGAUUUGACCUUGCUAUCGGCAAAGGUGAUAACUCGAAUACUUUAGUCCUGACAACAGCGAUGCGCCCGGAUGUCACGGCUAAGAGGUACUCACGCGGAACUGUAGAACACGCCGAGCUUAAGUCGACGAAUUCCUAAGAACUCGUAACAAAGGGAAAAAGUAUGACGAAGUCGUCGAAAAGUAAAUACUGGAAUAUGAGUAAAAACGUGUGUUUGAUUGAUUGAUUGAUUCCUUAUUACAAGGCCCUAGGGUCUAUAUUUAUACCCUGCUCAAAGAGCUAUAACCAGACACAAUUAGAAUUUGAAUCCCAAAUUACAUGGAAUCCGUAUACAAAACGAUGCAAAUAAUUAAGGAAAUAACAAAACUAUCCCUCGUGACAAACCGAAACUCCUCCACAUAACGACCGGCAGCUUCCGGACUCCCUCUUUGCAUCAUCGGCAGACCCUUUGCCAUAGUCAUCGGCAGACUUUCUUAUCUAGCCAUCGGCACCAUAUUACUGCAUGUGGACUUAGUCACGUUCAACUUCUUUCUCAUCGGCAACCAUCUUCAUCGGCAACCCACUUCGUAAACAUCGUACUGCCACCUUAUCCUGCCAUCCUAGACACGUGCCCAAAAACGGUGUCAACACAUGCCCCCCAAUUUCGGAGUAUAAAACUAUUAAUGCUCCGAAAUUCUCUGCAGUAAUGAUGCCCUUUCCCGCAAUUAAUGCUCCUAAUCUGGUAACCGACAACCUCAAUCUGAACAACUCUGAUCCUAUGCCUCCGCAGAUUCUUCGAAAUCCCCAACUUCCUAAACGGGCAUUUUUCUCAGCCGUACAUCGGCAACCAUGCCGUUACAAAGAUCUGCCGAUGUUCUGACCAGGAUAUUCGCACAAACGGUUACUUCCCCUCUAUCCGCCCAUCGGCAAUAUGACCGUUAUAGAAUAUUGCCGAUGGACCGACCAGGAGAUCUCGCACAGUAAAAUAUCUUCAGAUAAUGACCGCUUCCCGUCAAAUUGCCUGCACAAUCCCUGGAUUACCGUGCGAACAGUUACUAUAUCCACCUGAGUACCCUCGGAUUUCUCGGAUGCGGCAAAGAGAUAAGUCGGAUUUGCCCUUGCCCAUUUCGUCCUAUAAAUAGUUCCUUCUUGGGUAUUCCUUCCCCAUCACACCAUUCUACUACCCAACUUUACUUUUCCAGCGGCGGCGCCACCAAAAAACUCCCAAGGUCUCCGACAAGUACCCCUCUUCACCAACUCCGGCGCCUUCAAACGCUUCCUUCGCAGCAAGAUGGCCGUCGGGUUCGUCGUCCUUGAGGUCAAAUCUCCACCCCGUCUUCUGUAUUUUUCUUCAUAUCCCUGUUCACUCGCAAUUCAUUUUACUGAACAUCUUCCUUUUCUUCCCUCUUUGUAUUUCUUUUUACGCCCACAAUCACUAGGAAUUGUCCAACAAAAUUGUCAUCCCCACCGAUCAACCACACCUUCAAUGCCUCGGCCCUCUAGGGGAUCCAGAUCCAACUGACCUUAUCAACGCAGAAACCAACAGGAUCCCCUUCAGAACCGAAAAUUUUUCCUUAGAUCUGUGGAAGGACACCUUCCGCUCUUGGCCCAGCCCAACUGUGGGGUGGAAAGAUUGGUUCUUGAGGGUCAGCAACUCUAAUGAAGUUCAGUGGGGUGAAAGGAAUCUAGCCCAAUGCAUUAGAUUGUCCAUUGCCGAUAUGCAUAGGAACGAGUCACUGCUGAUAGCUGCAUCCUACUUUUGGUCAGACACCCUCAAUGCUUUUGCCUUUGGCCACGGCCCUGCUUCUCCUACUCUUGCCGAUGUAGCCAUGCUUACUGGUCUAGAUAUAUCUUCUGCCGAUAGCACCCACUUUUUUGAUACUGCCCCUAGUGCCAAAGUGGAGACUCGCGCUAUCGGCGGUUGGUCGGGGUACAUUCAGAAGUACCGUGGGAGAGGAUCUGUCACCAUAAAGGAACAAACCACCUUUCUGAACAUGUGGCUGGACAAGUUUGUAUUCUGUGGUCGAUCGGCAGGACCGACUUCUGUCUACCUAUCGGCAGCAGAAAGACUGGCUAACGGUGGCCGAUUCCCUCUUGGCCGAUACUUGCUUGGCGCCGCUUACCACCUUCUCCAUCAAGUAGCCCAGAAACUUCUGCUCGGCCAAUCCACUGGCAACUUGGGAGGCCCCUGGUGGGUUGUCAACAUGUGGCUCAAUCUGCAUCUGCACAAGCGUCUCAACUUCAACCUAUUCACACAGCGUUUCCCAAGAGAUAUAGCUGAAAACCAUGUAUUGGGUGAAGAGGAAUCGGCAACACGCGCCCCCUUGAACUUUGGCGAAGCUAUCAUAGUUCUGCCUGGUUCAGGGGGUAAUCCAGAUCAGAUCGGCCGAUUCUUCCAGACUCUGUAUGAGGGUUUGGCCAGAGACGAACGACCAUGGUUGGCUUAUGAUGACCCAGAUGGCACGCUCCCUCUGACCUUCAAUCCAUUUGAUGAAGCUCUCGUCAGGGACAGUGAGGCGAUGAUGGCAAUUGUGACUCCCAGAAUCAUUCCAGUGAAUUUCUUUGGUAGCACAAAAACCUCCCCUCAGACUUACGAAUUUUACAAUCCAUCGGCAUUAGCUCGCCAGUUAGCUUUCGGCCAGUUGCCGAUUGCACUUCCUUAUGCCGAUGUGAUAAAACCCAGAGAAACUAUCAACAACCUUCUUGAGUGGACUCGAGUAGCCCAACUACCACCAAACGCCGAUACAGAUGUAGAUCUGUCAGAAUGGGUUCCGGCUGCUUUUAUCACUCAGGCAUACAAGUUAUGGUGGGCAGAUUGGAAAGAGCAUCUAUUCUGCAGAUCGGCAUUUUCAUACCGCGGCAUGAUUGACUCCGAAUACGAAGUUCCCGAUGACACUGUAAGCAACUCAAACCAAUGUUUCAUUUUCUCAAUAUUACUUCCAUUGGCAGCUUACCCUUGUAUUCCUUUUGCAGGUUGACAAUAUCCCUCCAUUGGUUAGCAAGAGUGGCAGGCCAAUUGACUUGUUUCCAUCAGGCCCGAUUUCCUCAAUCGGCCACAAUGCUCCCACUCUAGCUUCCAUCGUGCAUCGGGGUGUACGCCUCAGGAAAGUCACCACCAGAAGAACCCAGACAUCACCAACGGUAGCUGCUCCCACUCUGGCACGGGCUUUCAAGGCAAUUUGUCAAAUCUUUUCCUUUAUGCUGACUAUCUUUAUAUCGGCUAUAUUUAUGCUUAUAAACUCUUGUUCAUUAUUGCAGCAAACCGGCGUAUCGGCGAAAGCCAGGCGUGAUAGUGCCGAUGCCCCCCAGUCUAGCCAACCAAAGAGAAAGCGCACCACGGGUGCUAAGACUGGAACGAAGCGCCAGAAGGUAGCAACUCCCCCUCCUCCUCCGGUAUCUCCAAUUCCGGUGGAGUCUUCUCCUUCUUCUCCAGAAGCUCAGCCACAGCAAGCACCAUCUCCCCCACCAAUGCAGGAAGCACCACAGAUAGAAGAACCCCAGCAGGAAGGAUCUCAAACAGAAGAUACAUCAGCUGACAUGGGUGAACAAACAACUGGCCCGGUGGGUCCAGUUAUACCAUCAGCAGUUCUUCCGAUUCAGACAACCGUUGUUCCUCCUCCAGGUAACAUACUUUAACAAUAUCGCUACCGAUGAACUUAUUCUUAUUUAGUCUCAUAACUCCUUUUGUCUUCUUUCAGUAGAUAUCGUUCCAUCGGCAAUCCUAGCCGAUCAACCUGUAGCUCCAUCGGCAUCUUUGGCCGAUCAGCCUGCAGCUCCGUCAGCACUUCUCAGUCAAAGACAAAAGAUUGCCUUGAAGCAAGUAAGUCACCGUUUACCGUUAGCACUAUUUGCCGAUCCUCUGAGUAUGAGCUAAUUUUGCUUUCCCUCCCGAGAACAAGAUUCGCCCGAUAGCCUGUUCUCCUUCGCCAUCGAUCUCUCUGAAGAAGAAGGUGAAGAAGCGAGCUCUUCUCAGACGGUCGGCAUCACAUCGGCAGAGAUCAGGGUCAGGCUGGAAGAAUUGUCAGCUCUCCUUCACCAGGACACAGCGCAAUUGGUUGAUGAUUCCGACCCUACCAAGACCCUGUUCAUAACUCUCAGAGGCCAAAUCCCAGCCGAUGUUGAAGAAAUCUUGUUCCAAGCCGCUCAUCUGGAGAGUCGCCAGCUGCAGUACCAGAGAGCUUCUCGGCGUCUUGCCGAUAGAGCCGCUCAUACUCAACUCUCCGAUGAAAUGAGGAAAGAGAAGCUUUUGACCGAUGAGAAGCACAAGAACAUCGGUAUCCUGAGAUCUUCUGGAGACGCGCUGAAGCAGAAGAUAUCCGAUCUAUCGGCAAGAAAAGAAUCCCUGUUGGCGGAGCUCAAGGCAGUAGAGAACGCUCUGUCCCAAGCCCAACAGGAAGAGAGCCAAUUGCCAGAGACCAUCAGGCUUCUUGAGCACGAGCGAAAUGCUCAUGGUCGCAAGGCACUUCAACUGAAGAAGAAACUGAAGCCGAUAGAAGGUUCUGCCGAUGAUGACAUCAAGGAGAUAGAAGCAGCUAACCAAAUUCGGCUACGCGCUAUAUCGGCAAUCCAGACGCUGCUUAACACUUAGAGUUUCCAUCGACAUUAUAUCUGUGCUUUCCUGCUUCCUCAGCUUCUAGUCUAGCCGAUAGGACUGUUAUCGGCACCUAAACUUUUGAAACACCAAGUCUUGUCCCCAAGCAUUUGGAUCCAGCCGAUAGGAGUGUUAUCGGCACCUAAACUUCUAUGCAUCGACCCAUAUACUGGGGUAGUACUUCUUUAAAUAUUUGCCGUUUAAUGCUCUGGGAAAUUCAAUUCCUUCGAGGGUUUCUAGAAUGUAGGCAUUACCAGGAGCCGAUCGACUUAUCCGAUAAGGACCCUCCCAAUUAGGAGACCACUUUCCAAACUUUGAACUUUUGGUCCCAAUUGGUAAAAUUAAUUUCCAUACCAAAUCCCCAUCGGCAAACUCUUUAGCCUUCACUUUCUUAUCAUACCAUCUAGCAACUCUCUUCUUAUUUUCUUCUAUACUCAUUAAAGCUUUUAACCGAUGCCCUGCUAGAUCGUCCAAUUCAUCGGUCAUCAAAGUGGCAUAACCAUCGGAAGUUAAUUGAUCUUGAAAAGAUAAUCGCCUAGAUCCAGCCUUAAUUUCCCAAGGCAACACUGCAUCAUGUCCAUACACCAAUUGAUAGGGUGAUACUUUGGUCGAUCCAUGACAAGCCAUCCGAUAAGACCACAAUGCUUCAUUUAAUAAUGUAUGCCACCGCUUAGGAUUUUCUUCAAUCUUUCGUUUAAUAAGCUUGAUAAUUCCUUUGUUAGACGCUUCGGCCUGCCCAUUGGCUUGAGCAUAAUAAGGAGAAGAAUUCAACACUUUAAUUCCCAUACCGAUUUCGAAUUCAUCGAACUUCCCCGAUGUGAACAUGGUGCCCUGAUCGGUAGUAAUCGUUUGGGGAAUCCCAAAUCGGUAAAUAAUAUGCUCCUUCACAAAAUCAAUCAUAUUGGCCGAUGUGACUUUCUUCAAAGGAAUAGCUUCAACCCACUUAGUGAAAUAGUCAGUGGCAACUAGAAUGAACUUAUGCCCUUUGCUAGAUGGUGGAUAAAUCUGGCCGAUCAGAUCGAUGGCCCAUCCCCGGAACGGCCAAGGCUUUAUUAUAGGAUUCAUAGCCGAUGCGGGUGCUCUCUGGAUAUUACCAAACUUUUGACAACCUUGACAUCCCUUGAAAUAUUUAAAACAAUCCUCAAGUAUGGUUGGCCAAAAAUAUCCAUUCCUUCGAAUCAUCCACUUCAUCUUAAAAGCUGACUGAUGCGCUCCACACACUCCUUCAUGGAUUUCCCCCAUCAAACUUCUAGCUUCAUCAUCACCCAAGCAUCGGAGAAGAAUUCCGUCGAUAGUCCGAUAAUACAAUUCAUUUUCAAGGAGCACAUACUUGGUUGCUUGAAAUCGAACCCGCCUCUCAACUUUUUUGGAUGGAUCUUUUAGAUAAUCAAUAAUUUCUUUCCUCCAAUCACCGGCACCGACUGCCGAUGUCGCAUUAAUCAUUGGCUGAUAUCCCGAGGCAUGCUGAGCUAACCAAUUAGCGUCUUCAUUAUGCAAUCGGGGAACAUGCUCCAAUCGGACAUCCUUGAAUUCCUUUAACAGUUGCAUACUUCUCUCGAAAUAAGUUAUGAGAACUUCACUUCGGCAUUCAUAGCUUCUAGCCAAUUGAUUUAUAACCAACAUAGAAUCCCCGAAUAUCUCAACAGCAUCAGCACGAACUUCUCUUAACAACUCCAAUCCCUUGAUCAGAGCCUGAUACUCAGCCUGAUUAUUUGUUGAUGUGGCAACAAUCGGCAAGGAAAACUCAUACUUCCUCCCCUUAGGGGAAACGAAUACAAUGCCGAUUCCUGCCCCCCGGUCACAGGUAGAUCCAUCAAAGAAGAGCGUCCAGGGUACAAUUUCCAAGGUUUCCACUAGACCGCAAUGUUGAGUCACAAAAUUGGCCAUAAUCUGCCCUUUGACUGCCUUAGCCGAUUCGUAACGCAAAUCGAACUCCGACAGCGCUAAAAUCCAUUUACCGAUCCUACCACUCAUAAUCGGCAUAGAUAGCAUGUAUCGGACCACGUCAUCUUUGCAAACAACAGUGCAUUCGGCCGAUAACAGGUAAUGUCUCAGCUUGAUACAUGAAAAAUAUAAGCAUAAGCAUAGUUUCUCAAUGGCCGAAUACCUGGUUUCAGCAUCAAUCAACCUCCUACUCAAAUAAUAAAUUACCCUUUCUUUCCCUUCAAAUUCUUGAACUAAAGCUGAACCGAUAACCGAUCCAUCGGUAGAUAAAUACAAUCUGAAGGGCUUCCCUUGUUGAGGUGGAACUAGAACAGGAGGAUUUACUAGAUACUUCUUGAUUUCAUCCAGAGCCAACUGCUGUUCUUCUCCCCAAACAAACUCUUGAUCGGCUUUCAAUUUAAGAAGAGGACUGAAAGCACGAAUCCUACCAGACAAGUCCGAUAUAAAUCUCCUGAUAAAAUUUACCUUGCCGAUCAAGGAUUGGAGCUCGGUUUUGUUGGUAGGGGCCACUAUUUUAUUGAUGGCAUCAAUAGAUCUUCGACUAAUUUCAAUACCCCUCUGAUGUACCAUGAAACCAAGAAACUGCCCUGCCGAUACACCAAAUGCACACUUGUUGGGAUUCAUCUUCAAUCCAUGCUUCCUUGUGCACUCUAACACUUUUUGUAAAUCGGCAAGAUGCUUUGAGAAAUCUCCAGACUUAACCACCACAUCAUCAAUAUAAAUCUCCACGAGCUUGCCGAUGAACUCAUGAAAUAUAAAAUUCAUAGCCCUUUGAUAAGUAGCACCAGCAUUCUUCAACCCAAAAGUCAUGACUAUCCAUUCAAAUAGCCCAACAUGACCAGGACACCUGAAUGCACUUUUUGGAAUAUCCUCCUCCGCCAUGAAUAUUUGAUUGUAACCUGCAUUACCAUCCAUGAAGCUGAUGACCUGAUGACCAGCCGUAGCAUCAACCAGUAGAUCGGCGACAGGCAUUGGAUAUCCAUCCAUCGGCGUAGCUUUAUUGAGAUUCCUGAAAUCAAUGCACACCCGAAGCUUCCCGUUCUUCUUGUAAACCGGAACAAUAUUGGAAAUCCACUCGGCAUACCGACACUGCCGAAUAAACUUAGCUUCAAUAAGUUUGGUGAUUUCGGCCUUAAUAUCAGGUAGAAUGUUAGGAUUACAUCGGCGGGCUGGUUGCUGAUGCGGCCGAAAUCCAGACUUGAUGGGUAACCGAUGUUCAACAAUUGAUCGGUCUAAACCAGGCAUCUCGGUAUAAUCCCAAGCAAAGCAAUCUUUAUAUUCCUUUAACAAACUAGUCAAUUGUUGCUUACUCUCAGGAUCUAAUUUAGCACUAAUAAAAGUAGGCCUAGGCUUAUCACCACUACCUAUAUCUACUUCUACCAAAUCAUCGGCCGAUGUGAAUCCCUGGCCUAAUUUUCCAUCAUCGGCGAAUCUAUCCAUUAAAAACCGUCGUCAGAACCGACUACUUGGAUCGGUGGAAUCUCAUAAUCGGCAACUUUGAGAAAAUCUUUCUCCCAAACUUCUCCUGAAAUGCACCUGGUCCUUUAGUAAGUAUCCGCUUCUGCCGAUGCGAUAACAUAAGAAGAAUCUCCUGGGACAAUCUCAAUCUUGUCACCUACCCACUGAACCAAGCAUUGAUGCAUUGUAGAUGGGAUACAACAAUUGGCAUGAAUCCAAUCUCUUCCCAAUAAUAAGUUGUAAGCACCUUUUCUGCUGAUCACGAAAAAAGUUGUCGGCAAGGUUUUGCUGCCGAUGGUCAACUCUACACAUAUCGCCCCCUUGAUUGGAGACACGUUUCCUUCAAAGUCUUUGAGCAUCAUAUCGGUCUUGGUCAAAUCUUGAUCCCCUUUCCCAAGCUUCCGAUAUACUGCAUACGGCAUAAUAUUAAUAGCAGCUCCACCAUCAACUAGGAUCUUGGUCAUUGGCUGCCCAUCAACCCUUCCUUUGAGGAACAGAGCUUUAAGAUGCUGCCUCUCGUCAUCGGCAGGUUUCUCAAAGAUAGCCGUCAUCGGAUCCAGAGCCAACUGAGCUAUCUGAUCAGAAAAUUCCAACUCAUCAUCACUGGCUGGUGCCAGAAACUCCAUCGGCGACAUGAAGACCAUGUUGACGCCUGCCGAUGGACCUUCCCUCUCAGUGUCUGACGGCUGCCGACUUCCAGAGUUCUCUCCCUUGUUUAGCUCUUCUUGCCUUUCACGUUGCAAUCUCCUUUUUUGUGUCUUGGUUAAUCCUCCAGGGCACCAUGGAGGAAGUGGCCUUUGCCUUGCCGUCGGGCGUCGGUUCUCCCUUGACUCCAUACGAUGCGUGUUAGCAUCCCUGCAAAAUAUGAAUUCAUCGGGAACCCGCGCAUCAGCCAUUUCCUCGAGCUCUUCUUGGUUCCUGGGAAAAUACUGGACACGGUCACUAAGUCUGUCGUGCCCACUAAAUCUGCCCCCCAGCCGGUCAUGAACUGACACCCUUCCUCUGAUCGGCCCUUUAAAUCGCCGUUCAUCAUCAUGAUAAUGCCGAUCGAUCCUGUCGUACCGAUCAUAACCGUUGCACUCAGGGCAGUCUCUGACAGUAGGAAGCUUGAUAUUUUCCUCCCAACAAUGGAUGAAGAAUGGACAAUUCCAAUGAUCCCUAUGCCGAUUCCACUCCUGUCGGCGUCUUUCUUCUUCCCGCCGAUAAUCUUCCUGCUGGCGCCGAUACCGAUCUUCCCGCUGGCGCCGAUACCGAUCUUCCCGUUGUUGCCACUUUUCUCGAGGCCUUCUAUGAGUUAUGACGAUACCAGAUCGAGGAGGCCUUCCUGAGCUAGUUCCCUCCUGGACCAAGCCCUUACUUCUUGCAUCGGCAGUAGUAACUUGAUGCUGAGGAUCUACCGAUGCACUCUUCUCAGCUGUCUCCGAUGUUAAGACCUUAGCCUUCCCCUUAGCAUCCAACAUGUUUGUCGGGAAAGGAUGUUGGUCUAUCUUCAUCGGCUUCUGGGCUUUGGAACUGUCAAACCUGAUUCUCCCUGACUCUAUAGCCGAUUGCAGCUGCUGUCUGAAUACUUUGCACUCGUUGGUGUCAUGGGAAGUUGCAUUAUGCCACUUGCAAUAUCUCAUCCUCUUCAACUCUUCUGCCGAUGGGAUCACAUGGUUAGGUGACAAUUUGAUCUGACCUUCCUGAAGUAGAAAGUCAAAUAUCCUAUCAGCCUUAGCGGUGUCAAAAGCAAACUUCUCUGGUUCCUUCUGCCCAAAAGGACAAGACAUCGGCUUCUUGUUUUUUACCCACUCUGCCAAGCCGAUUACUGGUUCUUCAUCAGAAUCUGAGCUUGUUGCUUCAUCGACAAAUGACACUUUCUUAUUCCAUGCUCUUUUAGGCUCGAAAGGCUUGAUGUCUUGAUCAGAAAUCCUCUGCACCAAAUGACUUAAACUUUCGAACUUCUGAGAGGCAUACUUAUCCCUGAUAUGUGGCAACAAACCCUGGAAAGCCAAAUCGGCCAGCUGCCGAUCAUCCAGAACCAAGCUAUAGCAUUUAUUCUUGACCUCUCGUAUCCUCUGCACAAAACCCUCAACCGACUCAUCAUUACGUUGCCUCAACUUGACCAAGUCGGUGAUCUUCUUCUCAUGAACCCCCGAGAAGAAGUAUUUGUGGAAUUGCUUCUCUAGAUCGGCCCAAGUAAUUACUGAGUUGGGAGGUAAUGAUAUGAACCAAGUAAAGGCCGAUCCAGACAAUGAUGAUGAAAAUAGACGAACCCUCAAUUCGUCCCUGUUACCAGCCUCUCCACAUUGAAUGAUGAACCUGUUGACAUGCUCCAUGGUUGACGUGUCGUCCUGCCCGGAAAACUUUGUAAAAUCCGGUACCUUGUACCGAUGUGGAAGCGGGAUCAAAUCAUACGCGGGAGGAUACAGUGUCCGAUAAGAGUAAGUGUUGACUUUGGGUUUUAUCCCAAAUUGUUCCCUCAUUACUUCAGCAAUCUUAUCGGCCCAAUACGCAUCGGCAUCUUGCCGAUGAGGCGGCUGCGGAUCUGGCACUUGGUGGAGAACCUCCACGUGUCUGUUCGGGACGUGAUCUGCACGGAACAUUGUAUUGAUCACCUGUCCUCCAAUCUGCGGACCACCAAACUGCUGUCCACCGAUUGGCUGUCCUCCGAGUUGCUGUCCAAAAUUCAUUGGCUGGUUGGGAAUCCCCUGACCUUGGACCCCGGGAUAGACCUGCCCUUGCUGGAACCCUGUAGCCUGGUAACUCUGCUGGGGUGAUUGUGGGAAGGCUUGCUGUCCAAGCCAUCCAUUAUUAGCGUUCAUCGGCAUAGGUGCUGCCGAUGAUUGGUAAUUGGGUACCGUCGUUGAAUUGACAUACCCCGACUGGGCCAUAGACCUCUGUUGCAUCAGCAUUGACUCUACCGAUGCGUUGGGCAUCUGGAACAUUAAAUCUUGAGGAUUUCCAGUGUGAGGCCUUGCAGUAGUAGUUGUGGUAUACCGAGGACUCUGAUUCACCGGCGCAUUGGGAGGUGCCGAUGUCAUAGGAGUUUUGCCCCUCAUGUCGGUUAUUUAUGAUGUUCCCGGUGUCAACUCUGGAGGCAUAGCGUAACCCCACCAGUUGGGAGGAAGAGUCAACCCUGACAUUGCCGAUGCCAACAUAUCUGUUGUCAGUUUAUGCUGCCCAACUGAAAUUUGUGGGUCGGUUGUCAUCGGCAUAGAUAGUGCACCAGUAGUCCCCGAUGUACUUGGAGGGACGGCAGAUUGUGCACUUGUAGUCGUCAAGGCAGCCGAUGGAGCCGUGACCUCUGGUGCCGUUGGCUAAUGAUGGGAGGGGCCCACAUAAUCUGGUGGGAUUUGUCCUUCCUUGAAAGUUCUUGCCACGACAUUGAAAACCGUAUUAGAUAGUACACCAGCUUGGUUAAUCAACGCUCGAUUGAUGGCAUUGUCAACCAUAUCUUGAAGCUUGCCAGGGUUGGCGUCAAAGGUAACCUGCCGUGGUGCUGGCAGUGCAUCUUUCUGGACCACUUCGCCGCUCCUGUUUAUGCUGAAAGACCUCAGGCAUUGCUGCUUGAACUCUUCCAUGGCUUGGGCAAUAGCUUGCUUCUGCUCAUCCUUAAGGUUGGCCUCCGUCACGGGGAUGACGUUCUCUUGAUCGAGGUCAGAGAUCGACAUGUUGAUCUUGAUCUUGAAUCCUGUCCCACCGGGCGUGCCAAAAGAUGUGUUGAUGCAAAACUGAUCUGCAAACACAAAGGGCUAAUACCCGAUUCAAGCGUUGAGGCGUGCCAGCCGAUUUGACCUUGCUAUCGGCAAAGGUGAUAACUCGAAUACUUUAGUCCCGACAACAACGAUGCGCCCGGAUGUCACGGCUAAGAGGUACUCACGCGGAACUUGAGAACACGCCGAGCUUAAGUCGACGAAUUCCUAAGAACUCGUAACAAAGGGAAAAAGUAUGACGAAGUCGUCGAAAAGUAAAUACUGGAAUAUGAGUAAAAACGUGUGUUUGAUUGAUUGAUUGAUUCCUUAUUACAAGGCCCUAGGGUCUAUAUUUAUACCCUGCUCAAAGAGCUACAACCAGACAUGAUUAGAAUUCGAAUCCCAAAUUACACGGAAUCCGUAUACAAAACGAUGCAAAUAAUUAAGGAAAUAACAAAACUAUCCCUCGUGACAAACCGAAACUCCUCCACAUAACGACCGGCAGCUUCCGGACUCCCUCUUUGCAUCAUCGGCAGACCCUUUGCCAUAGUCAUCGGCAGACUUUCUUAUCUAGCCAUCGGCACCAUAUUACUGCCUGUGAACUUAGUCACGUUCAACUUCUUUCUCAUCGGAAACCAUCUUCAUCGGCAACCCACUUCGUAAGCAUCGCACUGCCACCUUAUCCUGUCAUCCUAGACACGUGCCCAAAAACGGUGUCAACAAGGAAAAAUGCAGAAAGGAUAAAUAUGGAUAACUACCGAUUUUACCUUUCAGCGAGGGUUCAAUGUUUUGAGUCUUCUAAACAAGACUUCUCACCGUGUUCAUUCGUUAGGUGCGUCAUUUGAUUCAAGUGUGGACCUUGACGUCUGCACCUCUUGAUACGGUGUCACCCAUGUUCUUCGUUUGCCCAACAGUUCAAAGUGCGGCGUUGGCAAUAUCCUACUCAGUGUGUUUGUGCUCGUAGAUCCAGGUCCUUCACUUGGUGGAGUCUACGAGUUGUAAACCUCCUCAUGUUUUGCUCAAAGUGUACCUGCUCAUAGAGACAAGGCAGAGAUCAAGUACAUGGGCCCUGUUGGUGAAAAACACCAAUAGAACCAAAAGUGUAUUUGUUCUUCUCUAACCUUAAGCAUAGUGAGCAAGACAAAGUUGACGGAUAAUAAGAUAAUGAGUGUAGCAUUUAAAACAUUUGUCAGAUCAGAUCACUCAACCUAAUGGAAAGAUAAUCGAUCUAUACUUAUGUUUAUUUUAUAUAUAUCUUCCAAAGAUUGUGUGUGCAACAUUUUAGGUCAUAUAAUUAGGAGUGUGGGAUCACAAAGGUGGAAGGACUAAACGUGUUGAAUCGAUUGGGUUGGUUAAUCUAGAGUUGUAAAUCAUAUAUGUUUAUCUCUUUUAUUCAUAUGAACGCCAGAACCAAGGAGAAACUUAUAAAAGUGAUAGUCAAGUACCUUAAGAUGUUACCUUACUUGAAGAGUGAUGGUACAGUACCACCUUGUGGAAGCUUUCCUUUCUUAGCGGUUGUGCACCGUGUUUGUGGCACUCUUUGUCUCGUUCCAUGGAUCAUCUCUCUAUGAUGAAUGAGCUAUGUCUUCCUUGUGUAAAUUGUUAAACUUCAUGUGUCUCUCUCUUUGUCUCUAGUGUGAGUUUAUCUCAGGACUUCCUAGGUCGAUAUUGAAAGUUUUCCUGAGGGGUUAGUCCAACAAAAUAUCCAAUAUCUACUAUAGCACACUAUCGGCUCAAAAUCAACCUAGACACCAUGUCUAAUUUGAUUUAGGAGGGCAUUUUAACCUAAGCACCAUGCUUAAUUUGAAAUCCCUUGGAAGUAUGAUAGAGAUCUACUCAAGUGGAGAUGAAGUAGUGUGAUUAGUAUUUUACAAAUUAAGCAUGUCUCAAAGGUAGGGACAACCAACAUAGCAACAUGGCAAAGGAUGUUUUUAUGUAAAGUACUCCCCCAAACUUGAAUUUUGCAAAAUUCAAGUUUGGAUGAAUUUAAUUCAAAGUUGUAUGAUGAUUGGUUGGACAUACCUUGUGCUUGUCAUUCAUCCGAUCUUCUUGCUCCAAUCCUGGAAAGGUUAGUGACAAGAAUAUCCGAAGGAAUUUUUUUACAAUUAUCGUCAUAUGCUCAAUACACAAGGUAACGUUGCAAAUAAUAAAAAGCUCAUGUUACGAUCUGAUCAGUGCUUAUUUUAGGAUACUGAGCUUGUCCUUGGGAAACCAUCAAUUUAUGUCGACAAAGUGGUUUUCCCUCCAAUGCUGACCUAUAUCAAGAUCAACUCAACGAGAUCUGCAAUAUUUAUUAUAGACAUAUGCAUCGACAACCGCCCUUUUAAAGUUUUUAUAAAUAGAAAGGAAGAGGGGGUUGGAGAUCUCAAAUGUGGUGAUGUUGGAGAGACCAAUAGAUUGGGAAGAUGUUGCAUAUGAGCAUGGAGUAAACGAAGUUGCUAUGAAAUAAAUUCCAUGCUCAUAAAUGUUAUCUUCUUCUCCAAUCUGAAUGUUCGGAGUUUCUCCUAGAUUGGUCUCGCCUAUGUCCUCUUCUGUAGUAUGAUGAAUCUCAUCUUCAAAGGAAGUCAAGAACUCACCAUUUAAAAUUGAGCCAAAGUCAGAAUCCAUUAAGGCUUCUUCCUUGUCCAUCCAUUCAAUGGUGAUAGCACAUGGAUUUUUAAUGCCCUCUAGCCACUGAUGUUGCUCUUCUCGAUCCUCCUUAUGGUCUUGGUGACUCUUAUGCAUGGGAUGUCUAGAGAGAUUCAUAGGAUCAUCAGGAGGUUCAAGAGAAUGAGCAUAGUAGAAAUUAUUAGGCUCAAGGAUGGGUUUAAAGAUAGGUUCGAACGAGUCAUCAAAAGUAGGCGUAGAAGGGAAGAAGAUGAGAUUGUCUUCUAAAUGGCUUCGCUCUCCUUCUAUUGCAUCACUUAAGACGCCAUCCUUGAGUCUUUCUAGAUGUCCAUCAGAGGGAUUGGAUUUGAGAUGCUUUCUAAGAGAUCCCUUUUUAGGAAGGUUCAGACUAUAUGCACUCAAAGGUCUCUUAUGAAGCAGGAAGUUUAAGCUCAUCCCAAAAUGAAUUUCCAAAGGUAGAAUUUCUUCUUCUCUUAGAUGAUUUUUGGAGCACUACUAGUUUGGGUUGGAUAGCCGAAUCAUGGGAUUGAAAUGUUUGGAAAUCGGCUAUUGAAACUUCCUUUCCUCAUUUGGGAGAUGAUUCCUUUUCUCUCUCUAUGUUUUUUUAUGAAGACUAGUGCAAGGGGGAUGUCCACGAAUGAAGACAUACCUUGCUUUACUAAUAGAUAAAGAAAGAAAAACUCUACCAAAGGUUAUAUUAUUAAGACCAAUGUGAAAAUAUCGAGGAAAAACAUGGUCUUGUAGGGCUAGGUCUAAACCAGAAUUUAUAGAAAGAUUAAAAGAUUCCCUAGGUGUAGCUAAAAGUUCAUUAUCUUCUUGAUUGAAAGAUAGGACCUCGGCUAUAGAAAAAGGUUGGUUUUGACCUGUUGCAAUUAACUCCAGACACAGAUCAUAAUUAGGGGCAAAGAAAGGACUUGUUGACUCCCAUGGUCCAUGGCUAGUCUCCGAAGGUGCAAAAAAUUAAAUAAUAGGUGUGGAAUUUGAGUUAUCCAUAAAGAUGGAAAAAAUAAAAAGAUAAAAGAAUAGAAGUAUAAAAGUAUAAUACAAGAUAAUAGCAAGACUCAAAGUUAUCUCAGCAAACCGUCUUUCUCCCCGGCAACGACGCCAGAAAUGCUUGUUGAUAUUUGUUAACGCCAUGAGGAAAUGAUCCGCAAGCGCGCGGAUAUCGGUGAGCACUUCACUCGGGAGGUUAUCCAGAGUAUCGUAUUUAUAUUUUUACCACUAGGAGACAGCGUGAAUCUGACUAACCAAAUCUAUUGCUACUACCCUUUAGGCUACAAACAAUAUGACUCGAUGUGAGUGAUGUAUAAAGUAGACUUCAAUUGUACCCACGUUCUAACCUUGGUAAGGAUGAUCUACUGUUCUGUUGGGGAGGCUCACGGAAUCUAGAGACCACAGAGGAUGUUCGACCCGCACCUAUAAACCCUAUCGAUCCUACUAAAAGGAUUAUGGGCUACAAAGGUAACUCGGAAAUGUCACGUUCCUCGCUACUACCACAGUCCGGCUAGAUAGGGGAUAUCUAUGAGUAUCCUAGCCCAAAUACCACGUUUACGCUAGAGAUGAUUACUCUAAACUCUACGCGAAGAGAUCAAAGUAAAUUCAUAAAACAAAGAACAAUAAAACAAAGAGCUUACUAGAAUUUAGAAGUCGAAAUACUGAAGAAUACUAGGAGCAAGCCUCUGGUUAGGAGACUUUAUCCCACAGGUACAACCUCAGAGUAGACACCGACAAGCCGGGCUUCCUCCGAUCUACACCUCCACUCUAUCUCUCUCAAUCUAGUAGAAAUAAUUCUACUCUAACAUUGGAUGCUAAGCCCUAUGAUGUUGGAACCCUAAGGGAACCUCUCACUCUGAAUCCUCUCUGGAAAAUAUGCUAAUGAAUAAUGGGGAUUGCCUCCUCCAGGGGCUAGGGGGCCUGCUUAUAUAGCCCCUCCAAAUGAACGUGGGCCGUCGGAUCAAACCGACCUUAAUCGCACGGUUUUCCUUGAUCCCUUAGGUCGGUGGAGCAUAAUCCGCGAGGUGGAGCCUGAUUGGCUGAGGCACCUGGGCGGGCGCCCAAGGGGGGUGGGCGGGCGCCCUGCCCCCGGGCUCGCUCGGCCUCCCGUUCGUUCCCGUGGCUUCUGGAGUCUUCUAGAUGAUAGAAAAUUGUGCGGCACGUUAAUAUCUCUAUGUAAACCCGACGUGUGGGCCUUUUCUCCAUAUUUCCUAAUAACCCCCUGUAGAAAUAAACAAACACCAAAACUUGUGGAAUUCUGUCAUAUAAAACCCUAAGUCUGGGUGUUGGUUGCCUUUGGAUCCUUUACUUUAUUUAUUUGAUGAUUAAAUUUGUUACUCAAGGACCGUCAACAAUCGCAAGUAAGAAUGGUUAGGAAGGCCAAUCCAGCAUUCCUAAUUAUUCUUACCAGACUGCACUGCUAAGGCCGACGCCCUCGAGUUGCCUUGGGUUAUCUCUCUGAUGUAGCGAUAGUUAUGGUAUGCCAACACCCGACAUUUCUGGUGCCAUUGCUAAGGAUGGAUCUAUGGUCUAUUUUUAGUAGUGACGCUAAGAAAUGCCAACAGUGGAGCUAUCGGCUCCUCCACCGUUGCCCGUCCCACACGAGGCAAUGAUCGUGCAGCGGCGGUGGGGCGGGUGUGAUGCUGGCCACGCCUUCUUUUGGGCGGGGAAGCGUGGUGGCGAGGCCAUCUCGGGGCCUUUGUUCGUGUGGGCAUGACACGAGCCCCUCCAGGUCCUUUGAUUGAGAGAAGGAUCAUGUCAUAGCCGAAGCCGAUGGACAUGAACUCAAGGAUCCCAAACCAAAUCACCGUGGAGCGUGGGAUCGGUGAGACGUGAGCGGCCAUCUCGAAAGAGAUGGGAAAUCGGUGAUAAUACGCAGGACCCCUACCUGGCGCGCCAACUGUCGGUGUUUUGACUCCGGGGAGGGGGGUGACACCAACGAGUGAAUUUGUGUUCGUGCUCCCUUUUGCGGAUGGUGAUACAAGAAUGACACAAAGAUUUAUCCUGGUUCAGACAAGAGAAGGCCCUACAUCCAACGGGGGGGAGGCUUUGUAUUAUCUCGCACCUGAGUGCUUGUACAGGGGUGAAUACAAGUAGAUGUGGCCAAGAGUUCUAAGUCCUAGCAGAUGGUGGUGUGUGUGAAUCGUAUUCUACGAGUUGUGUUCUAUGGGUGUGCUGGUUGUCUAUGUCGUCCUUAAUGUCCCCUUUUAUAGUUCCAAGGGGAGACCUAGGUUACAGGGUGUAGACAUUAGAAUAAGCCUAGAUAGGGGAAUGGUGUGCUGACCUACUCGAGGCCUCCAUAUCGGUGUGGCCUCGAGCCGUCUUGUUACAAGGUACUUUGGUGAUGAUGGCGCGUGCGCUCCCGAAUUCAGCCCAUGUACAUCGUCUUGUAUUGGCUCAGGCGCGGGCACGCCGGUACGUCGUGGCAGGAGUCAUGUCUAGGGUGGUUGAAGCGCCGACUUCCAUCGCGUGAUCCUUUCUAGGGAAGGAACGUGUCUACUCGAGGGUCGGACGGCUCGGGCGGCCUUCUUUCGUGGGAGUGCUCACUUUGUGCGUGUCGAGAGGUGCCGUGAUGAGACAUUAUGCCUGCAGCACUGUGCCAAGUCAUACCUUUAUCCAUCCUGGGGGAUAAAGCUGGAAAAAGUGAAGAUUUGGGGGGUGCUUGUUCCCCUAUCGUGCUUCACGUGACUGUCAGGUUAGGUGGGAGCAUGGCAGUCGCAUUAAAUGCCAUAGCUUCCGUACACGCGACCGACGGCGGAGGACGCUUUUGCGCUCGAGGCCUGUUGACACUUCUUAACGCAACCACCGGAUAUCGGCGACGGCGCCAGAAGUGCCCUGGUAGGGUAACUCUAUUUACUAUUGGAUAAUUCCACAAGCGCACAGAAUGUACCGCUGUAGCACUUCACCAAGGAGUAUUCCAAGGUAUCGUAAUUUAUAUUUUCCCAAGGGAAAGCGGCUAAGUGUGUUUAACAAAAAGGGGAAUGAGAUUCCUUGAGUUAUCUAGUAUCAACUAGUGAAUAAGGGUGGUAAAUAACGAAUAGGAAGGGUAGUGGUGAAUCCAAGGUCCUAUGCUAAAGGUAAAUGGUAGAGUUAGCUAGGUGGGAGGACAACGAGUGAGUAAAGGACUCCUAUGUAUCUAACUUGACUUCUGUGACUUACUUUAAUAGAUAAUUGUCUUAACUACGCUAGAGCCUUACUAACUGUGUGCGAGGGAUAGCCGAGCUGGUAAGACGCUUAGAAGGUUUUUCACCUAACCCCUUACCGAAAGCGACUAUUGGGCUUAUGGACGCCUUACCUUUUAAGAACUAGCCUGUACGUGAGGAGAACCUAAUGCCGCCCACGAUCUGUCACCUACUAGGGAGUGCGCUCCUACUUUCCGUUCAAGCCAGCGGUAAUCAAAGGUAAUCUUAAGUAUGAGCACCACGCUCACACUUAAUCCUACAACGCUAACUAGUUGCAGCUAGCUAGAGCUCCUAUACAAGAUAGGACGAUGAUGCACACACAGGAGUGGUUACAGGUCACUAACUUCACUAAGACAACUAUAUUACUAAAGUAAAUGCACAACAAGACUAAAAGACUUGCACUAAGUAAGAAUUCAGUAAAGUAAAGUAAGAAUAAUAUAUUAAUAAAAGGAAAGUCUUACAAAAGUAGAAAGGUACAAGAGCUAUACCAGACUCUCCAGAAGACGACUCCGGAGACCCCGAGCUUCGCUCGACUCGACUCUAACUCCCACUCUAGACUAACUACUACUCUACUUGUAUGCUUGGAACUUGUAAUGCACUUGGCCUUGGAAUUGCACACUUGAAAUGAAGGAUGGAGGCUGCCUUUUAUAGAGGGAGAUGGAGUAGGGGUUACUCCAUCGCCACGUCAUCGAUCCGCGUGACAUCUUCUCUCCACCCUUGGAUCAAACCGACCUCACAACCGCCAUUUGAUCAACGGCAGGGGCAAAUCAACAUGUGGGACAUGUGGGGAAGGUCGGUGGGAGGCCACCGACCCUGGAACCGCCUUUGAUGUGGGGUCGGGUGACCCCACUUCUGGGCCUCUGGGCCCACCAGCAGUGUCCACAGGGGUCCCUUAUGUCGGUGGACUAGGUGGCACACCUGGGUCCCACCAAAGAGGGGUCGGGCGACCCCCUCCCUGUGGGCCCAGGGUGUCACCUGUUGUCCCCUCGAUCUCCUCUUGAUGAUUCUGAUGUUGGCUUUGUCAAAUAAUGUCUUGAAUUUGUUGUUCCUGCAUAAACAAGCUAAGAGUACAAGUGGAACUAGUUAUGGAUAAAAUAUGUUCAUGUCAUGUCGUUUCCCCUUGCAACCGAGGCAUGUUGACGGUGUUUUGUAUGUGGAUUUCUAUGGUAUAUCCAACGUCAACAAGAUCCCCCAAGCUUAACCUUUGCUCGUCCCGAGCAAACAAUCAAACUUAGCCUCGGUGGAUCAGGUAUUGUUACUAUGUUCACAUUUCAAGAGUACCAUGUGUACAACAAAGUUCUUCUCUUUGCAUGAAAAAUUUAGCUAUGUAAACUUACCCCUAUUACCUUAGUCCCUUAUGGGGCUUAUGGCUUUUCCUUUGUCUUAGGUGGUUGAGAGACAGAACAGUUUGACUUGAGCACUAACUUUCUCAUUCUUAGCAAGUUUCAUAUCAGAGGUUUUGUGAUAUUUUCAAAAGAAAGCUUAAAUGUUCCUCUUAUGGUUCUCUCAUGUCACUCAAAUGGUGUAUGAUUCCUCACCAAGGCAUAUGGUAAGAGUUGCCUUCUCUAUUUCAUCCUAUUUCUAAAAGGCUUAUGUGGAGUUCAAGGUAGGGAUGAAAGGAGAUAGCAUACUUACUUUGCAUAUAUUGCGAAGUCAAAGCUCGGAUCCUUGAAGAGAAGUGUCAUACUCCCAGAUCAAGAUGUGCAAGUGUGAUAUAUGGUGGACUAGGUUGCUCCUUUAUUUGAUAGACUCUCUAUGUAUUGAGACAUGGCUAGCUUUUUUUUUUAUAUAUAUAUAUGAGCUUUCAUGUGCUCAAUUUUCUUUUUCUGUGGACUUGCAUAUGUCCAUCUUUUUAUUUCAUUUUGCCUAGCCUUUUGAUGUCUCAUUUACCAAAUAAUGCUUAGAGAGAUGUUCUAACAUUUAGAGUAUGGAGCAACCUAUUUAGUGGAUGCGAAAUACAUGUGGUUGCGUACUUCCAGUGUAGAAGCAGCAUAUAUAUAUGUGGUGUGUACGUGAUCUUGAUCUUAGGAGCAUGAAAAGUCUCUUAACAAGGGUCAACAAGACUUGACGACACUCAACACAAAGCAAAUAGCUUAUGUGGAAAGAUUGCAAUUGUGUAAAGUAGAUAUGGCUGUGGUAGGAAUUCAUCACCAUUGAGGAACAAUUAAGGUUUUGAUCAUUUUAAGAAUAAAUCUCUGAUAAUCAUGCAUGCUUAGAAAAAUAUUAUAGUAGCUCUUCUCUUACUAUCUCAUGUCCCACAACAACUUAGACUUAGUUCUAGCACUUGCAACCCACAAAGUUUUUAGGUUCAUGGCCGUUUAAGUGAGCUAAGUGAUCCAUACUUAGAGAAAUACUAAGUUGUAUACUAGGUACUAGAGAAACACUAACAAGCAACUAGUCAUAAUUUCCAUGAGGGAUAUAAACAUACAUGAAGCAUAUAUGCUAAAGGGAAAUGCUAAUAAAUAUUUAUUUAUUUAUUUUUUUAAGUAAGAAUGAUAAAAUGCAUGAAAAUAAAUAGGAUAGAAUACUUACCUUAGUGGGGGAGAGGAUCUCCCCCAAGCUAGAUCUUCGCUCACUGUGGUGGCGGGAAAUUCUGGUACCAUCCAGCCCAGCGUUGUGCGUCUUCCUCUCGCACACGUCGGAUAUGUUGGCCGUUUUGUAACGCCAGUUGCAAUGUUGCUUCUUGCCCAAUCUGCAAUUCGCCCAUGUCAUUAAUGAGACUGUCCAUACCUGUGGGCUGGUGACGCCUAGCCCUGUCCCUUGGGCGUGGAGUGCGUUGUGGAGGUAGACCCAUGGAGUCUGAAGCAUCCACUGACAUCGCUUCAUCGCCCUCUUCAACGUCAUGGUGCGAGGAUCCUCCUUGCUCCAUCUGGGCGGCUUGCAUCAUCCUUCUUGUCACCCUGCGUGUCCCCGCAACAUCUGGACUUGCCACUCGGGCUAGUCUAAUGGUAAGUGUGCGGACCCCAUACAACCGGCGCCUCGCACAUGGGAGAGGAAUUUUGGUUGUAUAGCCCGGAUAAAUCAUUUUAAGUUCACCAUUUGGAUCUCUUAUGAGCAUGUUAGCAUUGAUAAAGAAGUUCUCAUCUACCACUCCUCUAACAUAGCCAAUGUCUUCAAAAUAAUGUGAUUCAAGUAAUCCAAAAGUAUCGGCUAUUCGAGUAAUAAAGGAUGUGAAAUAGAUGGGCUUCCCAUACUCAAUAGAGUUAAGCCAAUAGUUCACUAGCAGUUUCACAGGGGAGACCUUGAUUUUACUAACCAUGGCAUAGAGAAUUUUAAGUUCAUCAUCAAUUAAAGUAUCAGUUCCCAUGCCAGGAUACAGAGUGCACAUGAUCCAGAAGUGAAGAAAGCGCAAGGUUGGCUUAUGGAUUUCAAUGGGAGUAGGAUUUGAACAAUCAUUAGAGCCAGAAAUUGCUUUCCAGAAUCUAAAUUUAUCGAACAUUCUAGUGGCAUGAUCUAGAUCAAGUUCACAUUCAUGUUCACACCCUAAAGCAGUGUUUAGCAAACUCCAAUUUAAUUGAUGUUCUUGCUCACACAUGCGAAAAGAUAUUCCAUUAUUUGUGAGUUUUAGGGUGCAUAGAAAUUCCUUAGCAAGCAAUUCUUUUCCAAAUUCAGGCACUUGCCAAAAACUACUCCAACCAAUUGCUCUAAACACCUUAUCGAAUUCAACAUCCAUACCUGUGCGGGCCAAAAGGUCCGGAUCGAUGAUGCUACUGUGUAGGAAGAGAUCCUCUCGGAUGAUGUAGUACCUUUGCAACUCUUCUUGGCUUAACAUGAGGCCGCUCUCGGGCUCUCUCAUCCUUGAUGGAGGCUCGUAGGGUACCAUCCCAUGGUAACCUUCUUCUUCCUCCCUUCCAUGAGCAUGGUGAGAGCCUUGAGAAGAGCUCUCACCCUUUGCUUUCUUGAACUUGCCGAAGAUAUGCUUCUUCAUCCUCCUACACAAGUGAGGCAAACCAAGCUCCUACUACUACUACUAUGCAAGGGGAAUCUUUUUGGGUUUUUGUUUUGAUGACUAUUUCUCAAUUAAACUUGAGAAAUGGCUUGUAACAAAGAGAGAAGAGAAAGGAUUGUGAGCUCUAAAUGGUUCUGGUGGUUUUGGGUGUGGAGUUGAGCUCACAAUGCUGUGGUAUUUAUAGGGGGAGAAGGGCAAGUAGUGGACCCACAAUAUAGGGGUCGGCCGACCCCCCCUAGAAGCACUUUGAAUUUGAGUUUAGCUUUAUACAGGGAACCAUUCUGCAUGCUUUCAAGAUUUUGCAGAGAUGGUCCAAAAUAGGGGUCGGCCGACCCCCAUCCUAGCCCCUCCUCCACUUUAAACAUUGUGUCAUUGAUUGUCCGGAAAAGUAAAGGCUAGGUGUGGACCAAAAGUUUUCAAAUUGUUUCUGAGAUUCCCUGUUUUAGUGCUUUGUGAAAGGUAAAAGAUGAAUGGCAAAAGUGGAGACAUGUCUAAAGUGAUUCCUAUGGACCAUGGGAGCACUCAAGCAUGCCUAGGUGACCACUUUGCAGAAUUUAAGCUAGUGGAGUGGUCCCAAAAGAAUCAAAGAUGAAAGGAGCAUCUUAUGACUAAAGUAAAGGAUCAAGGGACCACUCUUUUUCAAACUUUAGCUAGUGUUACAAGCAUAGGACUCCAUUGUGAUUCAAAUGGUGGCCAGCAGGAAGCAAGUGGGGCCAAUAUGGGGGUCGGCCGACCCCCACAUUGGAGCUCCCAGAGCAUCCAAGUGCUGGGUUGGAACCUCUAUGACUAGCAAGGUUGAAAUGUGGUGAAGUGGGCCCUAAGGUGGGGUCGGGCGACCCCCCUUUGGGAGCUCCAGCAGCUCAAAUUUUUAUGACAAGUUAUUCUCAAGAUUUUAUUUAUUAUGGCUAAACAUUUUGUCGAAAUAAGAUAUGCAAAAUUCAAAGUAAGAAUGCAAUUGAAAAGUGAAUAGUAGAAAUUGAAAUGCAGAAAAUAAAUAUGGGAUAACUACUGAUUUACCUUAUCAGCAAGGGCUCCAUGUUUUAGGUCCGUAGAGCAGGACCUCUCCAUCUUGUUCAUUCUUCGGGUGCAUCAGAUGGUCCCGGAGACGUGGACCUUGAUUGCACCUCUUUCUCCCGCCAUACUUGCUUGGUAUUGAUUUUUGGUUCAGCGGGUUCCUCUUCUUUCUUUUCGGCCCUUUUGGCCGACUUACCUCUCUUGUCCCUUUGGCGUCGGAUGUGGCGAGGCUUAGUCGGAGGUUCUUUGUCCUUCACCUGCAUGUUAGCUUUAUAACCAUUGAAUGGACAUUUUACCUUCCAUCCUGGGAAUUGGAGGUGAAUCUGGCCGGACCCCACAUAGAUGACUGCAUUGACCGUGUUGAGGAAUGGUCUUCCCAAGAUGAUCGAGACAUCAUUAUUGGAUCCCAUAUCCAAAAUGAUGAAGUCGGCAGGGACGUAGUCGUCUUGGACCUUUACCAGUAUGUCCCUUGCCAACCCCUCAGGGAACCUGAUCGUCUGAUCUGCCAUCUGCAAACGAACAAAUGUGGGGUGCAAAGGCCCCCCUAGCAAAUUAUCAUAAGUUACCUUGGCCAUGAUGUUGACACCCGAUCCAAGGUCGCAGAAGGCGUUGUGGAAGAUUUGCGGUCCGAUCUCACAGGUGAUGGUCGGCAGGCCUGGGUCGUCUUUCUUGGUGAUGAAGGGCGAAUCCAAAAGAUAGCUCCAGUUGGAUUGUACCGGAGGCUUACCGAACCUCGUAGUAACUAGUUUAACUCCUUCAAUUGGGUCCUCAGGUUUCCCUGGGAUCUUACCUUGCUCGAAGGAUGGGACAGCUGCUGCUAAUUGAGCUAAUUGUGUUUCUAGCAUUUUGUUAAAGCUCAACUGAUUUUUCAUAGCAGAGUUAAAGCUAUCCAACUUUUCACUUAAGUUUUCAAGGAUCUUAUCAUUAGCCAUCAUUUUCUUGUUAAUGCUAUCAUUGAUUUUAGAUUGGCCUAAGACAAGAUCUCUAAGAGAAGGUUGGUUACCAAAAGAAUUAUUGAAAUUUUGAUUGUAACCAUUACCUUGAUUACCUUGGUAGAAGGGGCGCGAGUUCCAUUGCUGUUGUUGGGGCCGGUACCCAUUGUUGUUGUUGUUGAUGAAGCUCACUUCCUCCUUUGUUUCGGGACAAUUGUUUCCCGAAUGAUCAUCUCCUCCGCACACUUCGCACCAUGAAUCAGAUUCAAUGGCCCGUGCAGUGGCGUAAGGUUGAAUGGUCUCUUGCUUGGAACUUUCUUCCAUCUUCUUCAUUAAGAGGUCCAUCUUAGCAGAGAGCAUGUCCACCUCAUUCAAGGCAUGGACACCUCUUCUCUUGGGUUGGAGGCGUUCCUCAUUCCAUCCUUGGUUUAUAACCAUCUUUUCAAUGAGGUCCUUGGCAUCCUUGACAUUGUGUUGCAAGAAUGCUCCUCCAGCGGCAGCAUCAAGGUGACUACGGGCCAAACCGGUCAGGCCAUGGUAGAAACCUUGGAUUAGGAGCCACUCCUCUAUCCCAUGAUGAGGACAGGAGCGAAUGUACUCCUGCAGACGUUCCCAUGCUUCGGGAAUCGUCUCAUCCGCUUGCUGUUGGAAGCUGGAAAUCUUUCCACGAAGGGCGCUGGUCUUGCCCAUCGGAAAGAACUUCUUGAGAAAUGCAUUUGCGCACCUCUCCCACGUGGUCACUUCACCCUUGUUGGCGUAGAACCAUUGCUUCGCCUUCCCCAAUAACGAGAAUGGGAAGAGGCGAAGACGGAUGGCGUCUGCGGCGACAUUCUUGAUGGUGAAGGUGCCGCACACCUCCAAGAAGUGUUGGAGAUGGGCAUUGGCAUCCUCGUGUGGCUUUCCACAGAAGGGAUUGGCUUGCACCAUAUUGAUAAGCGCAGGCUUCAACUCAAAAGUCGCAUCCCCCAAGUUAAGCUGCGGACCCGUGGCGACAUUGUCAGCCGACGGCGCAGAGUACUCAGAGAUGGUCUUCUGGGCCAUAGCUUCUUUGAUAACCGGUGCAGAUACUCCUUCCUCUAACGGAUUCAGGUUCGAGAUGAACCUUUGAGGUGGAACUUGACGACGUCUAGUUCUCCUCAACAGUUGCUCAGGAUCUUCAACGAAGUUUGACGGCAAUUGGAAACCGCUCAUACACUGUCAGGCUUCACAAUAAAGGAAGACAAGACAAGUGAUGGGUUAUCCCUAUCACUACUUGAUAACUAGCAAACUCUCGAUUCUCUUUUUGUUAAAACUCUUAGACAGACGCUCUCCCCGGCAACGGCGCUAGAAAUGCUUGUUGACACUUCUUAACGCAACCACCGGAUAUCGGCGACGGCGCCAGAAGUGCCCUGGUAGGGUAACUCUAUUUACUAUUGGAUAAUUCCGCAAGCGCACAGAAUGUACCGCUGUAGCACUUCACCAAGGAGUAUUCCAAGGUAUCGUAAUUUAUAUUUUCCCAAGGGAAAGCGGCUAAGUGUGUUUAACAAAAAGGGGAAUGAGAUUCCUUGAGUUAUCUAGUAUCAACUAGUGAAUAAGGGUGGUAAAUAAUGAAUAGGAAGGGUAGUGGUGAAUCCAAGGUCCUAUGCUAAAGGUAAAUGGUAGAGUUAGCUAGGUGGGAGGACAACGAGUGAGUAAAGGACUCCUAUGUAUCUAACUUGACUUCUGUGACUUACUUUAAUAGAUAAUUGUCUUAACUACGCUAGAGCCUUACUAACUGUGUGCGAGGGAUAGCCGAGCUGGUAAGACGCUUAGAAGGUUUUUCACCUAACCCAUUAUCGAAAGCGACUAUUGGGCUUAUGGACGCCUUACCUUUUAAGAACUAGCCUGUACGUGAGGAGAACCUAAUGCCGCCCACGAUCUGUCACCUACUAGGGAGUGCGCUCCUACUUUCCGUUCAAGCCAGCGGUAAUCAAAGGUAAUCUUAAGUAUGAGCACCACGCUCACACUUAAUCCUACAACGCUAACUAGUUGCAGCUAGCUAGAGCUCCUAUACAAGAUAGGACGAUGAUGCACACACAGGAGUGGUUACAGGUCACUAACUUCACUAAGACAACUAUAUUACUAAAGUAAAUGCACAACAAGACUAAAAGACUUGCACUAAGUAAGAACUCAGUAAAGUAAAGUAAGAAUAAUAUAUUAAUAAAAGGAAAGUCUUACAAAAGUAGAAAGGUACAAGAGCUAUACCAGACUCUCCAGAAGACGACUCCGGAGACCCCGAGCUUCGCUCGACUCGACUCUAACUCCCACUCUAGACUAACUACUACUCUACUUGUAUGCUUGGAACUUGUAAUGCACUCGGCCUUGGAAUUGCACACUUGAAAUGAAGGAUGGAGGCUGCCUUUUAUAGAGGGAGAUGGAGUAGGGGUUACUCCAUCGCCACGUCAUCGAUCCGCGUGACAUCUUCUCUCCACCCUUGGAUCAAACCGACCUCACAACCGCCAUUUGAUCAACGGCAGGGGCAAAUCAACAUGUGGGACAUGUGGGGAAGGUCGGUGGGAGGCCACCGACCCUGGAACCGCCUUUGAUGUGGGGUCGGGCGACCCCACUUCUGGGCCUCUGGGCCCACCAGCAGUGUCCACAGGGGUCCCUUAUGUCGGUGGACUAGGUGGCACACCUGGGUCCCACCAAAGAGGGGUCGGGCGACCCCCUCCCUGUGGGCCCAGGGUGUCACCUGUUGUCCCCUCGAUCUCCUCUUGAUGAUUCUGAUGUUGGCUUUGUCAAAUAAUGUCUUGAAUUUGUUGUUCCUGCAUAAACAAGCUAAGAGUACAAGUGGAACUAGUUAUGGAUAAAAUAUGUUCAUGUCAUGUCGUUUCCCCUUGCAACCGAGGCAUGUUGACGGUGUUUUGUAUGUGGAUUUCUAUGGUAUAUCCACCGUCAACAAGGCCCAUCGAUUCACUCGAUGCUAUUUCCGUACUCGAUGAUUGCUGGCUAUCGAGCCCCUAUCAAUUCGAUGGACCGUGUUUCCGUGUUCGAGGCCACGAUCAACACCGUGCCCUGGUGAUCACGUAUUUAUGUUGGAGCCUCAAUUUGUUUGAGAAUCCUGUCAUUGUGAGUGUUGGCUGGGAUACCCCCUAUUGACAUCCUCGACACUCAUCCUCGACCUCUCACCACUCUCAGAGUAGGUGCCAUGAGAGGGUGGAGGAGGAACAACGGCACACACUUGUUGCCUUUAUCCCCGCUGAUAGGAUACUGGAGCCCCACGACAACCUCUUGCUCACUCAUGAAGAGAUAGGGAAGCUCUACACCCUUCGAACUUGUAACACCCUAGGUGUUAAGCAUGCAUUUAGUUUCAUAAGCUCACUCAUGAGUAUCCUCAUCAAGCAUAGCAUGAGCGUAGCAUCACCUAAGCAUGGUAGCAUGAAAUUGUGAUUUUAUGUGAUUGAUUUAAAUGAAUUUGUUGAUGCAAAAGUAGAUCUGCAAACACAAAGGGCUAAUAUCCGAUUCAACGUUAAGGCGUGCGAGCCGAUUUGACCUUACAAUCGACAAAGGUGAUAACUCGAAUACUUUGGUCCCGACAACAGCGAUGCGCCCAGAUCUAACGGCCAAGAGGUAUUCACGCGGAACUCGAGAACUCGCCGAGGUUGACUCAAAGAAUUCCAAAGAACUCGUAGUAAAAGGAAAAUAUGCAAAUUGACGAAGUCGUCGAAAAAGUAGAUGCCGGAUUAGAUGUAAAAACUUGUGUUUGAUUGAUUGUGUAUAUUACGUUGCCGUAGGGUCCACAUUUAUACCCUGUCCAAAAGAUUUACAAGCAGACAAGACUAGGAUUCAAAUUCUAAAUUGAAUGGAAUCUGUAUGCAAAACAAACUCUAAAAAGUAUGGAAAACAUUAAUCUAUCCACCACAACCGAUCGGCAUACCAUCACCAUCCGAUAGACACUCCCUACGCCUCCUUUUGUGUUCAUCGGCUAAUCACCUUUCGAAGCCAUCGGCACCCAUCAACAUCAGUCAUCGGCACAGAUUUAUCACCACUAUUGGACUUGACCACAUCCUGUAUUUUAUGAUCGGCAUCAACUCUCAUCGGCAACUCUUCGAUCAACGAGUCACCACUUUAUUCGCCUGUCGAUCCACGCCUUAUUAACUCCCAGAUAUGCGCCCAAAUAUACGUGUCCAAAAACGGUGUCAACACAUGCCGCCCAAUUUCAGAAUAUAAAAUCAUUAAUGCUCCGAAAUUUUCUCCAACAAUGUUGCCUUUCUGUAGUUACUCCUUCCUAUCAGUAAUUAAUUACCAAAUCCAAACAACCUCAGCCCGGUCUUCCAGCACGUACCUUGAAUCCCUCAACUUCUCGAACCGAAUCCCCCUAGUAUACGUUCAUCAGCAAUAUUUCCGUUAGAUAAGACUGCCGAUGAGCCGACCAGGAGAUCUUGCACAGUAAGAUAUCUCCAAAAUCAUGACAGCUUGCUGUCAAAUCACCUGCGCAAUCCCUUGAUUACCGUGCGAACAGUUACCAUAUCCACCUGAACACCCUCAAAUUUCACGGAUACGGCCAAGAGACAAGUCAAAAAUACCCCUACCUUCUUUGUCCUAUAAAUACUUCCUUCUCCGGUACUCUUCCUCCAUCUUGUCAUUCUCCAUCCUCAAUCCCACCCUUCUGGCGGCGGCACUGUUCGAGAACUCAAGAACUCCGGCAAGGAUCUCCUCCAACAAUCUUCCAAGUCUUCGAUUCCUUCUCCCUCUCGGGAAGAAAUGGCCAUAAACUUUGUCGUUCCUGAGGUCAAUUCAGCAUCUCCUUUCACCGUAUUUUUGAUUUUUCGCACGGUUACUUACUUGGCAUUUCCUUUCCCCUUUUUUAUCUUUUCUACAUUCAAACCUUUAGGAGCUGGCCAAUAAAAUUGUUAUUCCCACUGAUCAACCCCACUUCCAAUGCCUUGGUCCACUAGGGAAUCCAGAUCCCACUGAUUUGAUAAACGUAGAAACAAAUAGGAUCCCCUUUAGUGCCGAGAAUUUUUCAUUAGAUCUGUUGGAAAGACACCUUUCGAUCUUGGCCCAGUUCCACUAAGGGGUGGAAAGAUUGGUUCCUGAGAAUCAUCAACUCGAACGAAGUCCAAUUGGUUGAGCGCAGACUAGAUCAGUGCAUUAGGCUAUCCAUUGUCGAUAUGGAGAGGAAUGAAUCGUUGUUGAUAGCUGCUUCAUACUUUUGGUCAGAUACCCUCAAUGCCUUUGUAUUUGGACAUGGCCCUGCUUCCCCUACCCUUGACGAUGUGCUCAUGUUCACCGGUUUAGACAUAUCAACUGUCGAUGAUAAUCAUUUAUAUGAUCACAAGCCUGAGCGCAAAGUAGAAAUCCGUAUCAUCGGCGGUUGGUGAGGAUACAUUCAGAAGUACCGGAAAACAGGACCAGUCGGUCAGAGCGAGCAUGGUGUCUUCCUAAUUAUGUGGCUGGACAAGUUUGUUUUUUGUGGUCGAUCGGUAGAACUAACCUCUGUCUACCUAUCAGCAGCAGAAAGACUGGCCGAUGGCGGCCGAUUUCCUCUCGGCCGAUAUUUGCUUGGCUCUACCUAUCACCUUCUCCAUCAAGUAGCUGAGAAACUCCUAUUAGGCCAAGCCAUCGGCAACUUGGGAGGUCCUUGGUGGUUCAUCAACAUAUGGCUUAGUGUCCAUAUGCACAAACGCUUUGGAUUUGACCUCUUCGCACAGCGCUUUCCAAGAGAUAUAGCCGAAGAUCACGAAUUGGCUGAUGAAGAAUCGGCAACUUGCUCACCCUUGAAUUACGGUGAGGCAGCUAUAGUCUUACCCGGUACUGGUGGUAAUGAAGACCAGGUCAGCCGAUUCUUCCAAACUCUUUAUGAGGGUCUUGCCAAAGAUCAGCGGGCAUGGAUGCCUUACGAAGACCCAAAAACCAGAUUCCCACUGAUCUUUCAUCCUUUCGAUGAUGCCCUUAAUAAAGAUACCGAUUUGAUGAUGGCGAUCAUCACACUAGGGCCAUUCUAGUGAACAUCUUCGGCAGUGGGAAGAACUCCAACCCCACCUAUGAAUUCUACAAUCCAUUGGCACUGGCUCGUCAACUGGCUUUUGGGCAGUUGCCAAUUGGACUCUGUUAUGCCGAUGUGGUGAAGCCAAGGGAAUCUUUAACCAACGGUCUCGGAUGGAUAAGGAUAGCCUAGCUUCAACCAAAUGCCGAUACAUCAGAUAUCGAUCUAUCGGCUUGGAUCCCAGCUCUCUUCAUCACUCAAGCAUACAAACAAUGGUGGGAAGAGUGGAAGGAACAUCUAUUCUCCACAUCGGCUCUGACAUACCGCAGCAUGAUCGACCCCAAGUAUAAUGUUCCCAAAAACACUGUAAGUUCCCAAUUGAUACCUCAAUUCUUUUAUUACUUUUACCCCUAUCGGUAACUCACUUUCUCUUUUUCAAACAGGUCGACAACUUGCCACCAACAGUCAGCAGAAGUGGAAAGCCGAUUGAACUCCUUCCGUCUGGUCCAAUUUCUCUGAUCGACAACAACGCAUCAAGCCUGGCAGCUCUAAUGCACCGGAAUGUGCGUUUUAAGAAGAUAACCACCAGGCGGUCAAGGACAUCUCCAACGGUCACCGCUGCUACCUUGGCACAAGCUUUCAAGGUAAAUCUUUGUUUUUCUCAAUUUAUACCGAUUCCAUUCUAUACUUACACAAUCUUUUCAGGAUACAUCGGCUGCUAUGGGAACCUCAUCGGUAACUUUUAUCUUUUAACAAGAUUUUCAUGAACAUUCUUUCAUAUUUGGACUCAUGAAAUCUUGCUUGUUGUAACAACAAACUGGCAAAUAGGCAAAGACCAGAAGUACCAAAACAAGUGUUGAUGCUCCCCAGUCCAGUCAAGUCAAGAGAAAAGGCCCCAAGAGCACUAAGUCGCAACCAAAAUGCCAGAAGACAGCACCGCCUUCUCCUCCUCGUCCAGUGUCACCGCUUCAUGUGGAAUCGUCCCCCUCUUCACCAGAAAUCCAGAUGCAGCAAGCUCCAUAUCCUCCUCAAUCAGCACCUCAGCCACAAGAAACACCAGCCGAUGUGCUUGAGGAGACUGCCGAUCCAGCAGAUCCAAUCAUAUGAUCAGUAAUCUCUUGAGAAUAGACAAGCACUACACCCCCUCAAGGUAAAGUACCAUCCAUAAAAUUAUCACUGAUGGAUUUAUUUUUUCAAAUGAUAACUAUCCUUAUUAUUUCUCAGUUGACAUUGUUCCAUCGGCAACUCCAGCCGAUCAACCUGUGGUACCAACGGCAUCAACCAGCCAGAGGCGUGAAAUAGCUUUAAUGCAAGUAAGUUAUCUGAUUUCCAUCCUUUAUAUCACUAAUAUAUGAUCAUCAAAUAACUUAUCUUAUUUUCUUUCACGAACAAGACUCCCCAGACAGCUUAUUUCCUUUCGCCAUUGAUAUUUCCGAUGAUGAGGGUGAGGAAGCAAUCUCCUCCCAAGUAAUAGGGAUCUCAUCGGUAGAAAUCAGAGCCAAACUGGAGGACCUACUGGCCUUGUUACACCAAGACACUGCUCAAUUAGUUGACGAUUCCGAUCCAGCCAAAGCCCUGUUCAAGACUCUUCGCGGCCAAAUUCCAGCCGAUGCUGAAGAGAUUCUUUUCCAAGCUGCACAUUGGAGUGCCGUCAGCUCCAAUACCAAAAGGCUACCCAGCGUCUUGCCGAUAGAGCCACUCAUGCCCAACUUUCAGAGGAGGUAAUGCAAGUGAACCGCCUUGCCGAUGAGAAACAUAAGAGCAUCGGCAUCCUGCGUUGCCAUCCAUAAAGCAAAUCGGCAACUGCCAUUGGAUAACCAAAUCCACCUCCUCAUCAUCACUGAAAGGCGCAAGGAAUUCCAUCGGCAACAUAAACACCAUAUUAACGUCUGCCGAUGGACCUUUUCCUUUAGAAUCUGACUGCUGCCGAUCUCCAGUCUUAGCAGAAUUCUCUUCUCUACUCAGCUCUUCUCGUCGUUCCCGCUGCAGCCUUCUUUUCUAUGUCCUAGUUAAUCUCUCUGGACACCAUGGAGGAAGUUGUGGUUGUCUAAUAGAGUGACGACGAUUUUCCCUUGAUUCCACCCAUUGGGAACUCGCGCAUCCGCCGUCUCCUCAAGCUCCUCUUGGUUUCUGGGAAAAUACCCGACAGGCUCACCAAGUCUGUCAUGCACACUGAGUCUACCCCCAGCCGAUCAUGAACUGAGGCCCUUCCUCUAAUUGGCCCAUGAAAACACCGAUCAUCGUUCUGGUACUAUAGAUUUGGUCUAUCAUACCGAUUAUAGCCAUUGCACUUAGUGCAGUCUCUAACAAUUGGUAGCUUGAUGUUUUGCUCCCAACAGUGGAUGAAGAACGAGCAGUUCCAGUGAUCUUUAUGCCGAUUCCACUCCUGUCGGCGUCUUUCUUCUUCCCGACGACGAUCCUCCUGUUGGCACCGAUACCGAUCUUCACGCUGCUGCCAGGUUUCUCGAUGCCUUCUAUGAGUGAUCACAAUGCCAAAUCGGGGAGGCCUCCCUGAGCCGGUUCCUUCCUGGAUCAAGCCCUUGCCUUUAGCAUCAUCGACAGUAAUCUGGUGCUUAGGAUCUACCGAUGUGCUUCUUUCAGCUGCCUCUGAAGUCAAUACUUUGGUCUUUCUCUUAGCAUCCAACAUGUUUGUAGGGAAAGGAUGUUGGUCGAUCUUUAUCGGCUUUUGAGCUUUGGAGCUAUCAAAUUUAAUUCACCCAGACACUACAGCCGAUUACAGCUGUUGCCUGAAAACCUUGCACUCAUUUGUACCGUGAGAUGUUGCAUUAUGCCACUUGUAGUACUUAAUCUUCUUUAAUUCUUCUACCGAUGGAAUCACAUGAUUGGGUGACAACUUAAUUUGCCCUUCCUGAAGCAAAAAUUCAAAUAUCCUAUCGGCUUUGGUGAUAUCAAAUACAAACUUUUCUGGUUCCUUAUGCCCAAAAGGGCAAGACAUCGGCUUCUUAUUCUUUACCCACUCUGCCAAACCGAUGACUGGCUCUUCAUCAGAGUCUGAACUUGUCACCUCAUCGACAAAUGACACCUUUUUGUUCCAUGCCCUCUUAGGUUCAAAAGCCUUGAUAACUUGAUCCGAAUCCUCUGCACUAAAUGGCUCAGACUUUCAAACUCUUGAGAAGCAUACUUGUCUUUAAUGUGUGGCAACAAUCCUUGGAAAGCCAAAUCGGCCAACAGCCGAUCAUCUAGAACCAGACUAUAGAAUUUGUUAUUAACAUCUCGUAACCUCUGCACAAAGCUUUCAACCGAUUCAUCAUUGCGCUGCCUUAGCCUGACUAAAUCGGUAAUCUUCUUUUCAUGUACUCUAGAAAAGAAGUACUUGUGGAACUGCUUUUCUAGAUCAGCCCAAGUAAUCACUGAGUUUGGAGGUAAUGAAAUAAACCAACUAAAGGCCGUUCCAGACAAAGAUGACGAGAAUAAACAAACCCUUAACUCAUCUCUGUUAGCAGCUUCACCACACUGGAUGAUGAACCUGUUAACGUGCUCUAUGGUUGACGUGUCAUCUUGUCCAGAAAACUUAGUGAAAGCUGGCACCUUGUACCGAUUUGGAUGAAGAAUUAAGUCAUAUGCAGGAAGAUAUGGUGUCCGAUAAGAGUAAGUGUUGACUUUGGAUUUUAUCCCAAAUUGGUCUCUCAUCACCUCAGCUAUCUUAUCGGCCCAGUAAGCAUCGGCAUCGUGCCGAUGAGCUGGUUGUGGAUCUAGCAUCUGCUGAUAAACCUCCACGUGUCUCUGCAGUGCACGAUCUCUAGGGAACAUGGGAUUAGCCAGUGCCUAUUGACCGCCAACUUGCUGGCUAAGAUUCAUCAGUUGGUUGAUCAACCCUUGAUUCUGAAAUCCAGGUUGCAUCGGUCCCUGCUGAAAUCCCAUUGCCUGAUGAUUCUGCUGAGGCAUCUGCGGAAAGACGAACUACCCCGUCCAUCCAUUGUUAAGAUUCAUCGGCGUAGACCCUGCUGAUGGCUGAUAAUUGGGCAUCAUAAUUGAAUUGACAUACCCUGGUUGUGUUGUAAACCUUUGCUGCGUCGGCAUUGGAUCUGCCGAUGCGUUAGGCAUUUGGAACGUUGGCAUUUGAGAAUUCCCAGUAAAAGGUCUUGCAGUAGUAGUUGUAGAAAACUGGGGAUUUUGAGUCAUCGGCGAGCCUGAGGGUGCCGAUGCCAUAAGAGCCUUGCCUGUCAUGUUAGCCGCUUGAGACGUCCCAGAGCUAUUUGCCAUAUACUCUGGGGGCAUACCAUAUCCCCACCAAUUAGGAGGAACAGACCCUGACAUUGCCGAUGCCAAUAAAUCUAUAGAAAGUUUGACUUGUCCCUCUGAUGUUGAUGGAUUGGUCGUCAUCGGUGUAGAUUGCGCAUUAGUCAUCCCUAAUGUGCUUGGAGGGGAAGUAACUUCCGUACCCGCAACGACAGUAGUAGCCGAUGGAGCCGUAACCGAUGAUGACCCUGGCUGAUGAUAGGCAGGACCCACAUAAGAUGGUGGCACUUGUCCUUCUUUGAAAGUUCUAGCUACAGCAUUGAAAACUGUAUUGGACAGUACACCAGAUUGACUUAUCAGAGCAUGAUUGACAGCACUAUCAACCAUCUCUUGCAGUUUACCAGGAUUGGCUUCAAAAGUAAAUUGUCGAGGCAUCGACAAUGCUUCCUUCUAGAUUACUUCGCCACUCCUGUUGAUACUGAAGGAUUUCAAGCGUAGCUGCUUGUAGUCCUCCAUGGCUUUCGCCAUAGCUUGCUUCUGUUCAUCUCUGAGAUUGGCUUCUGUCAUGGGGAUGACGUUCUCCAAGUUGAAAUCGGUAUUCGACAUGUUGAUCUUGAUGUUGAAUCUCUGUCCCACCAGGCGUGCCAAAAGAUGUGUCAAUGCAAAAGUAGAUAUGCAAACACAAAGGGCUAAUACCCGAUUCAAAGUUACGGCAUGCCAGCCGAUUUGACCUUACAAUGGACAAAGGUGAUAACUCGAAUACUUUGGUCCCGACAACAGCGAUGCGCCCGGAUGUCACGGCCAACAGGUAUUCACGCGGAACUCGAAGAAUUCCAAAGAACUCGUAGUAAAAGGAAAAUAUGCAAAUUGACGAAGUCGUCGAAAAAGUAGAUGCUAGAAUAGAUGUAAAAACUUGUGUUUGAUUGAUUGUGUAUAUUACAUUGCCGCAGGGUCCACAUUUAUACCCUGUCCAAAAGAGUUACAACCAGACACGACUAGGAUUCGAAUUCUAAAUUGAACGGAAUCCGUAUGCAAAGCAAACUCUAAUAACUAUGGAAAACAUUAAUCUAUCCACCACAACCGAUCGGCAUACCAUCACCAUCCGAUAGACACUCCCUACGCCUCCUUUUGUGUUCAUCGGCAAAUCACCUUUCGAAGCCAUCGGCACCCAUCAACAUCAGUCAUCGGCACAGAUUUAUCACCACUCUUGGACUUGACAACAUCCUGUAUUUUAUCAUCGACAUCAACUCUCAUCGGCAACUCUUCCAUCAACCAGUCACCACUUUAUUCGCCUGCCGAUCCACGCCUUAUUAACUCCCAGAUAUGCGCCCAAAGAUAUGUGUCCAAAAACGGUGUCAACAGAAUUAAAUAUAAUAAAUUUGUAUGCUUGAUUUAAAUUUGCUUGUGAUGACCAAAAUAAGUUGAACUAUGUUUCAAAAGAAUUAAGGACAAUUUUGUGACAUUUUUGGAGCUCUAGAAUUGGAGAAAUGAAUUUAUUGCAAAAAGCCCCAAAAUGAAUUUAUUUAAAAACCUAGAACAAGUUUUGAGUUGCAUUUCAAAUUCUAUUUGGAAUUUGGAGUUGCAGCUUAAAACAAAGUUGUAGAACUAUUUAUUUGUGACAACUUUCAUUUUGGGGGCCAAACCUGAAAAAGAUUUGAAUUCAGUCAAAAUGAGCUUGGAAAAUAUUUGGCAAAAAAGAGAAAUUGAAAAAAAAGAGAAAGGGGGCAGGCGCUGCUGGGCCGACCCGCCUCCCUUUCGGCCCGAUCAGCCGCGCGGCCCGCUCCUCCCCGCCUCUCCGCGCGCGCGGACGCGCCCGCCUUUCUCCACCCGACGCCGGCCACGUGGCGGUUGUACGUCGGCGACGUGGCCGCGGCCGCCCGGCUCCGACCGGCAUAACCAGGUCGGGACGCUGCUCCACUCCCCCAGGCGCCCCAUUCCUUCUGUCACCCCCUCUUUCGCGAGCCAUUCUCCGCGCCAAGGCCACCGCCGUGCUCGCCUUCUCCGCGGUAAGCCCCUGCGCACGCUCUACCGAGGUGAAAGCCAUGUGCGAGCCCGCAUAGCUCGCCGGAGUUCGCUCGACCUCGUCGGAGUGCUCUGCUGCGCCGAAACCCUCCCUCUCUUGCUUGUUUCGCCUGUUUUUGAGCGCGUUGGGUUCGGGAUGUUGUGAGCAAGCUCCGGCGAUGCUCCACGCGUGCUCCACCCCGCCGGAGUGGCCUGGUCAUGGCGAGCAGUGCCGCCGUGCCACCAUGCACGCCAGCAGGGGUGCUCUGGCCGUUCUCCGGCUAAGCCUAGGGCACCAUCGGGUGCGCCUCGUUGCGGGGAGCACACUGGUGCUCACCCCGUGGCCGGGAACCUCACUGCCGGCGAGAUCCGCUCGUGGGAGGUUCCCCUCCUCCCUGUUCCGCUGGCCGGUGAGGUUGGGGCCCCACUGUCAGCCGCACAGGGGUCAGGCUGGGUGCAGAUCUGGGUGUUUCUAGCAUUUUCCAGCGCAGAUUUGAAAAAGGAAUUUCUAAAAUGGUUUUUAGAAAUGUGUUAAUUAGUGUUUAAUUCAUAUCUUGAGAUCUAUGGCUCCAAAAAUGAUGAAAUAAAGUUUGAUGUGUUCUAUAAUUCCAGAUCUACAACUUGGUGUAAUUGCAUGCCAUGUUUGUACAACUUUUCUGUGUAAAUAUAAUUAUUCCAUGUUUUUGCUGAUAUUUAGAAAAUGCAUGGUAAAUAGAAUAUAACUCAAAAAAAUGUAAUUCUUGUUUUGUUAACCUUGCAUGGUUGUUUAGUCUCUGGGAAAAUUAUCUGACACAAUAUUUUCUAUAUAAAUUAAUUUACGGUGAUUUAAAUGCUUGCAUGGCAGUGGUUUAUUAUUUUUAAUAAAUAAUUGGAUUAUGAAAUUAAUCUGAAAAUUUUUGUGGACAUUUCUUAUGUUAGCAAGUAAUUUAUAAAAAUACGAAAUCUGUUGUUUGACACUUCAUCACCAGCAGGGUAUUUACACUUAAUUAUAAUAAGUAGAAUUGUGAUUUUUGUGUAGGCCAGAUUACCUGUCUAAAUAUAAUGAAAAAUUUGUGGUGAACUUUAUAAUUAACCAGUGACCUACUGUAAUUUUUGUAGAAUUUAUUGAGGUUCACAAGUAUAUGCUAUUGUUGUAGGCCUAAUGGUAAUUAAAUAAAUCAAAGCUUGCUAUGCAUAAGAUAAAUAAAAUAAAUAGUGUUUGGUGUAUCUUUGAAGCACCAUCAUAGCUUGCUGAUUGAUAAUAAUAACUAGUAGAAGAGAAUGCAAUAGAUGCUUUAAAUUGGAUACGUGUUCUUGGAUGAUGUUGACUACCUUGUAGAAAUAGUUUCAUGCUUCAUCCGUGCACCAUGUCAUGAUCAUCGUGAUUUGACUUGCACAAGCAUUGCACUUCGAGCAUCACUGCACUCAACUCAUGAGCACACAUGCAUCAUACAGGCUCUUAGGAGAACGAGGUGAGACCCGAGGAGCAGGAAGAGACCCAGGAGGAGGAACUUUCGGGAUGAUCAGAGCCGGAAGGAGAACUGUAGGAGUGCCCAGACCACAGGCCUAGCACUUUCGUGAAAGGCAAGCCCUAGAGCAUUCUAAGUCUCCCUAUUCUCGCUAACUUAAAUUUGAUAUAUCAUGAUUAUUCUACUAUGCUGCAUUUAAGUGAUAGGAUUUGCUUGAUACCGUUGAUGCAUAUGUACUCCUUGAUAUCACCACUUGUUUAUCCAUCUUGUGCUAUGUAGAUAGGCUCAGAGUCUAUGCUUAGCUUGCUUAGUACGGUAAAAGUCAGAUGAUUUCCUGUCACCUGCGAGAUAUAGGUGGAUACCUGAAUGUUAGCUGUCAAUGCUAUGAAGAAAAGUAACCAAGUGUGGGAAAGAAAAGUGAGACCGAGCAGAGUCUUAUGGUGGUGCUGACCGUAGUGCCCCUGCCUGUGUCGAUUAAGGACUGAUCGUUGAUGGUCCUCUUGUCAUGUUGAACGCAUGUCCCACAAUUAAAUGGAAGGAUAAGUCGUUCCAACCACGAAGCCUGAACACUAUCCGGGCCGGGAAUCGGCCCGAUGUACGCGCUGUAUUAGUGAUGGUUGAGGAGAACGACGAGGGCGCGGUGCGCAACCUUGGUAUAUCUUGGAUACCUCGGUCGCUGGAACUGUCCUCAGGUUUGGGCGGUGCCUGUCGAACCUGUGAAUUGGUCCUGGAUAGUAUAACACGGUGACCUAUAGCUCACUUGAUCAGUGAGUGUGGUUUGUGUGGGGAAUAAACUCGCCAGCUGGUUAGAAAUCGAUUCAAAUCGCCAUCACUCUUGGAUAGUGAGCACUUGACUUGAGCUUCGUCCUCAUAGUAAGGACUAUGAAACAAUUGGGUUAUGAUAAGUAAUGAUUUGUGAAUGCUAUGAUAGGUACUAUCAUAUCACAACACUUGUUUGCAAUAGUAUAGGUAUAAAUCUAGAUGAUAGGUAAUAAUACCUAGCCUGAGCUAAUUAAAGAAAGGGGUAUGUUAGGUUAUACUUUUAGAGGGGUAACGCUUUUACGCAAAAAGGUUUCAGCUACCCCACUAUACAACCUUCAUGAUCCUUGAAGAGUCUUUUAUUUUGGAUUGUGACGGGUAAGUCUAGCUAUGUACAUUCUCGUACUCAGCGUUCCAUUCCCAUGUUGUUUUGCAGAUGGUCAGAUGUACUAUGGUUAUUGCAUUCACUGCUUGUACCCAGCAAUGGGUGAUGACUAGACCAAGGGUGAUGGUCACUCUACCUCUUCUUUUGCUCUUCUGGGAAUGAUCAAACUAUGGCACUGUAUGAGACUAAGUGUGUGUGUGUUAUUCUAAAACUAUGAUGCUUCCGCUACUCUUGAACUUGGUUUGUAAUAACUUUAAAUUGAACUCCGAUGUAAUCUUCGAAAGUUGUGGACUGAAUGUAACUGUGGAUGGUGAUCGCUGGACUUAUUAUGAUCUUGGCUGUAUGUAUAGUUUGUGGUUUGAAAUCCCUCGUGAUUUCAUGGACUACCAGGAUUAUAUGGGCUUAAGCUGGAUGGAAUGACUAUGCAAAUGGUCAUUAUUAGGAUUAAUCUCUUAUAAUUUGGGCGGUUCUGUUACAGCUUGCAUCGGAGCAAGGUUCAGCGGAUUACUGUUCAUAAGUGCAUUCAAAAGCAAAAUUUAACUAGUAAAUAAAAGUUAAUUACCUAUUGAUAGUAUUCAAGGUGUUAAAAUGAGUUUUUGGAAAACUGCACAAUGUGCCAUUGGUCAUAUCCUUUAUGCCCAGUUGAGGACUCUAAGGUGGCUAGUUAAGUAUUGACUCGGGGCUUAUGCAUCAUAUUUCUAUUUCGUCGCUCAUACGGCGUGUAAUAGUAUGUGUGCCAUUCACUUGAGUGGUAAUGAAUGCAUCAAUUUCCUCUACGUCUUGGUAAGUGGGAGCUGUGAGAGCAUGAUCGGAUACACUGCCGAUGUAGGGAAGUGUUUUAGGGUGCUGUGUCAUGCACGCAUAUUCAGUGUGCCUGAGAACAGUACCACACGUUGGGAGAUUCCGUCCUAAGAGGCGAUGCCGUCGUUAGGGCGAUGAUGUGGGUAGUGGCACGUCAUAUGCAUAGGUGUGGUACCUAUGUGUGUGGGGUCCAUAGUUUUAAAUUCUUGUUCUGCAUGUUCAUACUGUGGUUGGGCUGAAAUGAGUUUUCUGCAGGUAUGCUAACCACGUUCUUGUAUAGAACGCUAGUUACGUUAUGAGAGAACGUUGUGUGCCACCACAUAUACCAAUUAGUGUUGACUUUUGUUUCUAAGUUUGUGAGAUCGUAAGUUUCGUGCAUGCAUCAUGUUCAUUUCAUAUCAUUACUUAAUUCUUCCCCUAAUUUAAAUUUGUCCCAAUUUCAAUUAAAAUAAAAGAUAAUCCUCAGUCUUACCCAAGGUGCUCUAUUUCCAGCAUAUGGCGCGCACUAGGCUCACCGCUCGCAAGUCCACUGGUGGGCGGGCCCCUCGCCACCAGUUAGCACCUAGGAGCUCACGUCACCAGAGCAAGAUCCUAGGGGAGUUUGGGAUGCCUACCUUGUUGUGGAGGGUGCUCAGUUCGAUGGGGUAUCCUGAAGGAAUGGAACCUCGCUACUAUUGGAACAUAGAGCAGCUUGGUGACGAGAACCUGGUGGGGAUCGAGGCAGUGAUUCCUACCAGUGGGGGUGACCCCGCCUGCGGUGGCUGGGUGUAUGAGUCCCAAGGUACCACGCCUUUCUAGGGUGCCAGUAGGGCUACUUUUGCGGUUCUAUGGGACAUCAUGGAGAGGUUUCCGUUGGAGCUGGCCCACGCCUUCGCUGGGGUGUUUCCCCAUGGUGACCCCUACACUUUGGUGUGGGAUCAGUUCGAGGUGAAUGCCCUAGAGAGAAGUGCGGAUGAGGAUCAGCACAGUAAUAGUACAGCUAUGAGUGCUAUGUUCGCCAUGAUGAAGACCUAUGGGGCUCUAGAGCGCUGUUUGUGAUGCUUGUCAGGGUCUCUUUUGAUAGUUCAGCAUGAGGCGUGAGUUUGACAGUGAGGUUGAGAGGCUGCAGAUAGAGUUGGCUCAUGUGACUUUAGAGAGGGACCAAGCAGUCCAGCAGAACAGUGAGCUGAGUAAGGAUCUGCUCACAGUGAGAGAGCAGAGGGAUAGGGUGACCACAGGUCACAGGAACUGCGAGCGCAUGCUAGUUCAUGUGCUUGGUCAGAGGAAUGAAGCCUAGCACGAGGAGGACACCCUGAGGGCCUGACAGCUGGAGCUUGAGCAGCAGCUAGCUAAUACUGAGGAGUAUAAUGAGAACCUACAUGAGGAGAUCCACUAGCUUCAUAACCAGCCCCAUCCUCACCACCUGCCUAAAGCAGCUGAGUUAGAAUCUGAGGAUGAGAUGGAUGAGGAUCUGGAGAUGGAGGCAGCCGCUAGUGGAGAUGAGGACGAGGAAGGCUUCGGCAUGGACAACGACCAUAGCGAGUAGGUGCUAGGGCUCUAGAGCUAGUACUUCUUCUUUUGCUGUUGUUGUUGCAUGACAUGUGUUGUAAUCUGUUGGAUCUUGGAUAUGUAAGACUUUAUGUGUUGAGUUGUGUUGACGCUGAAAGUCCAGUGUAUGUAUGCUGGCAAUUUUGGAUGUAUGCGAACCCUGUUGGCUAAAUGUUAAGUAAUCAGUUAGUGAUGUUGUGUGUGGAUGAUGAAUUAUUGUGCCUCUAUUUAUUGUGUGAAUUUAUUCUCAUCAGUAAAUUCAGUGUGGCAUGAUUUUGCAUAUGUCUACCGAUUGAUGGCAACUCCUAACGACUGCUUAUCGUUGACGCAUGCAGAUGGUGCAAACCCCAGUGUUGGAGAAGGUUCCUCCGGAGGUGGGGCUCGCCAGAAUGAGGAGAGAGUACCAUCACCGCCACCACCACCACCUCCUCCGUACACUGUGCACGUGUUUUUCAUGCAGUUUCUAGGGAGUCAUCAGAACAUGGAAUAGAUGCAGCAAAACAUGGAAGAAGCCCUACGCAAUAUCACCGACAACACAAACCGUGGGGAUAACCAAGGCGGAUGUGAAGUAAAUCAGUACAGCUCUUUCAAGGGCUUCAUGGACACGAAACCACCGGUCUUUAAGGAGGCCGUGUGUUGACACCAUUUUUGGACACGUAUCUUUUGACACGUAUCUAGGAGUUAAUGAAAUAUAGAUCGGCAGGCGAAAGAGUGGUGAUUAAAGGAGUUGCCGAUGGGGAUUGAUGCCGAUGGCGAAACAUCAGGAUGUGGCCAAGUCCACGGAUGGUGAUUGAUCUAUGCCGAUGACCGAUAUUGGUGGUUGCCGAUGCCAAUGGAAGGUGAUGUGCUGAUGAUAACAUAAGGAAGCGUGGGAAUUGCUGAUAGGAUGGUGAUGGUGUGCCGAUCGCCUGUGGUAGAUAGAUUAACAUUUUCCAUAGCUAUUACAAUUCGUUUUGUAUACGGAUUCUGUUCGAUACAAAAUUAGAGUCCUAGUCGUGUUUGGUUGUAGCUCUUUUGGACAGGGUAUAAAUGUAGACCCCGUAUCAAUGUAAUGACACAAUCAAUCAAACAUAAGUUUUUACAUCUAUUCCAGCAUCUACUUUUCGAUGACUUCGUCAACUUGCAUGUUUUCCUUUUACUUACGAGUUCUUAGGAAUUCAUCGAGUUAAACUCGAUGAGUUCUCAUGUUCCGUAUGAAUACCUCUUGGCCGUGACAUCCGGGCGUAUCGCUGUUGUCGGGACCAAAGUAUUCGAGUUAUCACCUUUGUCGAUUGUAAGGUCAAAUCGGCUGGCACGCCUUAACAUCAAAUCGGGUAUUAGCCCUUUCUGUUUGCAGAUCUACUUUUGCAUCAACACAUCUUUUGGCACGCCUAGUGAGACCCAGAUUCAACAUCGAGAUCAACAUGUCGAAUACUGAUUUCGAUACGGAUAACAUUAUCCCCGUGACGGAAGCCAAUCUCAGAGAUGAGCAGAAGCAAGCUAUGGCAAAAGCUAUGGAGGAGUACAAGCAGCUUUGUUUGAAGUCCUUCAGUGUCAAUAGGAGCAGCGAGGUGAUCCAAAAGGAAGCAUUGCCGAUGCCUCGGCCAAUCACUUUUGAAGCUAAUCCUGGUAAACUACAAGAGAUGGUUGACAAUGCUAUUAAUCGCGCUCUAAUCAAUCAAUCCAGUGUGAUGUCCAAUACAAUUUUCAAUGUUGUGGCUAGAACUUUCAAAGAAGGAAAGAUACCACCAGCUUAUAUGGGCCCGGCCUAUCAUCAGCCAGGAUCAUCAUCGGUGACGGCUCCAUCGGCUACUUUAGCCGUUGUGGGUACAGAGGUUACUUCUCCUCCAAGCACAUUAGGGAUGACUAAUGGGCAAUCUACACCGAUGGGAACUAAUCUAGCAACAUCAGAGGGACAAAUCCAACAUGCUACAGAUCUAUUAGCAUCGACAAUGUCAGGGUCUGUGUUUAAAAAUUUUCAAGUUCCUCCCAAUUGGUGUAGAUAUGGUAUGCCCCCAGACUUUGGUGCAAAUAGUUCUGGGACAUCUCAAGUGGCUGACAUGACAGACAAGGCUCCUAUGACAUCGGCACCCCCAAUGUCGCCGAUGACUCAGAAUCCUCUGCAAGACCUUUUACUACCACUGCAAGACCUUUUACUAGAAAUUCUCAGAUACCGACAUUCAAGAUGCCUAAUGCAUCAGCGGAUCCACUACCGAUGCAUCAAAGAUUUAUGACUCAGCCAGGGUAUGUCGAUUCAAUGAUGAUGCCCAAUUAUCAACCGUCGGCAGGACCUACGUCGAUGAAUGUUAACAAUGGAUGGACAUGGCAGUUUGUCUUUCCACAAAUGCCUCAGCAGAAUCAUCAGGCUAUGGGAUUUCAGUACGGACCAAAGCAGCCUAGGUUUCAGAAUCAAGGAUUGGUCAAUCAGCCGAUGAAUCUUGCUCAGCAAGUUUGUGGCCAACAGGCGGUGGCUAAUGCCAUGUUCCCUAGAGAUCGUGCGCCCUAGAGACACAUGGAAGUUUAUCAGCAAGCGCCAGAUCCACAACCCACUCAUCGGCAGGAUGCCAAUGCCUAUUGGGCCGAUAAGAUUGCUGAGGUGAUGAGAGAUCAGUUUGGGAUAAAAGCCAAAGUCAAUACUUAUUCUUAUCGGACACCGUAUCCUCCUGCAUAUGACUUAAUUAAACUUCCAAAUCAGUACAAGGUACCGAAUUUCACCAAAUUCUCUGGACAGGAUGACACGUCAACCAUGGAACAUGUUAAGAGGUUCAUCAUCUAGUGUGGGGAAGCUGCUUACAGAGAUGAGUUAAGGGUUCAUCUAUUCUCUUCAUCUUUAUCUAGAUCGGCUUUCACUUGGUUUAUUUCAUUACCUCCGAACUCAGUAAUUACUUGGGCUGAUCUAGAGAAGCAGUUCCACAAAUACUUCUUUUCUGGAGUUCAUGAGAAGAUGAUUGUCGAUUUAUUCAGGCUAAGGCAACGCAAUGAUGAAUCGGUUGAAGGAUUUGUGCAAAGGUUGUGGGAUGUCAAGAAUAAGUGCUAUAGUUUGGUUCUGGGUGAUCGGCAGUUAGCCGAUUUGGCUUUCCAAGGAUUGUUACCACAUAUCAAAGACAAAUAUGCUUCCCAAGAGUUUGAAAACCUAAGUUACCUCGUACAAAGGAUUUCUGAUCAGGAUAUCAAGGCUUUUGAGCCUAGGAAAGCUUGGAACAAAAAGGUAUCAUUUGUCGAUGAGGUGACAUGUUCAGAUUCUAAUGAGGAACUAGUCAUCGGUUUGGCAGAAUGGGUGAAGAACAAAAAGCCGAUGUCUUGUCCUUUUGGCCACAAAGAACCAGAAAAGUUUGCUUUUGACAUUGCAAAGGCCGAUAGGAUAUUUGACUUUCUGCUUUAGGACGGGCAAAUUAAAUUAUCACCCAACCAUGUGAUUCCAUCGGCAGAAGAGCUGAAGAAGAUCAAGUAUUGCAAGUGGCAUAAUGCAACAUCUCAUAGUACAAAUGAAUGCAAAGUAUUUAGACAACAGCUACAGUCGGCUAUAGAAUCUGGGAGAAUUAAAUUUGAUAGCUCCGAAGCCCAAAAGCCGAUGAAAAUUGAUCAACAUCCUUUACCCAUGAAUAUGUUGGAUGCCAAAGGAAAGACUAAAGUCUUGACAUCAGAAGCAGCUGAGAGGAGUGCAUCGGUAGAUCCUCAGCACUAGAUUACUGCCGAUGACGCCAAAGGCAAGGGCUUAACCUAGGAAGGCACUAGCUCAGGUAGGCCUCCUCGGUCUGGCAUUGUAAUUACUCAUAGGAGGCAUCGGGAAACCUGGCAGCAGCGCGAAGAUCGGUAUCAUCACCAACUGGAAGAUCGUCGUCGAGAAGAAGAAAGACGCCGACAAUAGUGGAAUCGGCAUAAAGAUCAUUGGAAUUGCCCGUUCUUCAUCCACUGUUGGGAGGAAAACAUCGAAUUGCCGACUGUUAGAGAUUGCCCUGAGUGCAAUGGUUAUAAUCGGCAUGAUAGAUCAAAUCGACGAUAUCAAGAUGAUAAUUGGCGUUUUGGUGGACCGGUUAGAGGAAGAACAUCAGUUCAUGAUCGGCUGGGGUGCAGACUCAGUGUGCAUGAUAGGCUUGGUGAGCGUGUCAGUUAUUUUCGCAGAAACCAAGAGGAACUUGAGGAGAUGGUGGAUGCGCGAAUUCUCGAUGAGUUCGUAUUUUGUAGGGAUGCUAAUGCUUAUCGAGUGGAAUCAAGGGAAAACCGUCGUCAAUCGGUAAGGCAACCACAACUGCCACCGUGGUGUCCAGAAGGGUUGACAAGGACAUAGAAGAGGAGGUUGCCGCGAGAACGAUAGGAAAAACUGAGUAGGGGAGAAAAUUCUGCCAAGUCUGGAGAUCGGCAGCUGUCAGAUCCUAUGGGAAAAGGCCCGUCAGCAGAUGUUAAUAUGGUGUUUAUGUUGCCGAUGGUGUUCCUUGCAUCUUUCAAUGAUGAUGAGGAGAUAGAUUUCCCUGGUCAGAUAGCUCAGUUAGCUCUCGACCCGAUGACAGCUAUCUUUGAAAAGCCCGCCGAUGAUCAGAGGCAGCACCUUAAAGCUUUAUUCGUCAAAGGUAGGGUUGAUGGACAGCCGAUGACCAAGAUACUCGUUGAUGGAGCUGCUAUCAAUAUUAUGCCAUAUGCAGUCUAUCGGAAGCUUGGAAAGGAGAUCAAGAUUUAACCAAGACCGAUAUGAUGUUAAAGGAUUUUGAAGGAAAUGUGUCUCCAGUCAAAGGAGCCAUAUGCGUUGAGUUGACCAUCAGCAGCAAGACUUUGCUGACAACUUUCUUUGUCAUCAGUGGAAAGGGUGCUUAUAAUUUGCUUUUAGGGAGAGAUUGGAUUCAUGCCAAUUGUUGCAUCCCAUUUACAAUGCACUAAUGCUUGGUUCAGUGGGUAGGUGACAAAAUUGAAAUUGUCCCAGGAGAUUCAUCAUAUGUCAUGGCAUGAGCAGAGGUAGAUACUUAUGAAAGGACCAGAUGCAUUUCAAGAGAGGUUUGGGAGAAGGAUUUUCUCAAAGUUGCCGAUUAUGAAAUUCCACCGAUCCAAGCAGUGUUAAUGGAUAUGUUCGCCGAUGAUGGAAAACUAGGCCAGGGGUUUACAUCGGCCGAUGAUUUAGUAGAAGUAGAUAUAGGUAAUGGUGAUAGGCCAAGGCCUACUUUUAUUAGUGCUAAGUUAGAUUCUGAGUGUAAGCAAUAGUUAACUGAUUUGUUAAAGGAAUAUAAAGAUUGCUUUGCUUGGGAUUAUACCGAGAUGCCUGGUUUAGGCCGAUCAAUCAUUGAACAUCGGUUUCCUAUUAAGUAUGGGUUUCGGCCGCAUCAGUAGCCAGCACGCCGAUGCAAUCCUAAUAUUCUUCCUGAUAUUAAGGCCGAAACAACUAAACUUAUUGAAGCCAAAUUUAUUUGGCAGUGUUGGUAUGCCGAAUGGAUUUCCAAUGUUGUCCCUGUUUAUAAAAAGAAUGGGAAACUUUGUGUCUGCAUUGAUUUCAGGAAUCUUAAUAAAGCUACGCCGAUGGAUGGAUAUCCAAUGCCAGUUGCCGAUUUAUUGGUUGAUGCUACAGCUGGACAUCGGAUUAUUAGUUUUAUGGAUGGUAAUGCAGGUUACAAUCACAUAUUCAUGGUUGAAGAAGAUAUUCCCAAGACAGCAUUUAGGUGUCCUGGUCACAUUGGAUUGUUUGAGUGGAUAGUCAUGACCUUUGGCUUGAAGAAUGCUGGUGCCACUUAUCAAAGAGCUAUGAAUUUUAUCUUUCAUGAGAUCAUCGGCAAGAUAGUUGAAAUUGAUAUUGAUGACGUGGUGGUUAAGUCUGGAGGUUUCACGAAGCAUCUGACCGAUCUGCGAAAGGUGUUGGAGUGCACAAGGAAGCAUGGUUUAAAGAUGAAUCCCAAUAAAUGUGCAUUUGCUGUAUCGGCAGGUCAGUUUCUAGGUUUCAUGGUGCGUCAGAGAGGGAUUGAAAUUAGUAGGAGAUCCAUUGAUGCUAUCAGCAAGAUAGUUGCUCCCACCAAUAAAACUGAACUUCAAUCAUUGCUCGGCAAGAUAAAUUUCAUGAGGUGAUUCAUAUCUAACUUGUCUGGUAAGAUUCGUGCUUUUAGUCCUUUUCUUAAGUGUUGGGUAUUUUAAACGCAAACACAAAAAUCCGCAAGUGCACGGAUACCGAUGUAGCUUUCACAAGGGAGUAUUCCACAGUAUCAAUUUUCCACAAAGAAUGUGAGUGUACUAAUUAAGAUCCAAGAUCGCCCAAGGAUAACUAUAUAAUUAUUUUUGGUGGCAAGAGAGGAAGUUUCCUGAGAGUUCUCUAGUUGAUCUAAGAAUCAAGAAUUACUUCAAGAUUAUCUAUUUCGGGACAUCAGAACACUAACCACAAAAAGAGAUGAGAAGGGGGCUAGGAAGCUCUGACUAUGGUCCUACAAACACCGAUCCGAAUGAGGUGGAAUACGUCGACCGUUAAGGCAGUCACUACCCUAGGGCUACCACAACAAUCCGCAGGAUUGGGUGCAAUUCCAGGUAAUUGAAAGACUAAACACCAUGUCUAAUCUAUUAAUUACUACUCUAGCUUUAUAAAGACUAAAGCACUUGAUGCAAGCGGGAAUCCAAUAAAUAACUUGAAUGUAAAUAAAAGUAAUUAAAGAACUCAGGAAUUAUGAAUUGAAGAACUUGGAGAAUGAUGAAGAACGAACUAGUUGCUGCAAAAGAAUAAUGUUCAGGAAGAUCCGACAGAUCCGGCUCCUCCUCCGCUCUCCUCUUCUCUCUCCCUAUUUUCUAGAUUACAACUAGAACUAACUAGAACUCAAACUAGAUGAACUAGAACUAGAACUAGAUGAACUAGAGGGAUCCUCUUUACUAGGAUGAAGAAUUGAAACCCUAGCUUUGAUUCUGUAGAAGAGGUAUGCUCUUCAGGGGCCAGGGGGCCUUGCUUAUAUAGUCUUUUCAAAUGAAUAUGGGCCGUCGGAUCAAACCGACAUUGAUUGAACGGUUAUCCUUGAUCCUUUAGGUCGGUGGAGCGUGAUCCGCGAGACGGGUCUGAAUUUGACACUAUAGGAGCGCGGGCGCCCUGGGCUAGGCCCCAUUUGGCCUCCGCUUCGUUCCCGUGGCUUCUGGAGUCUUCUAGAUGAUAGAAAAUUGCGUGGCACAUUAAUAUCUCUAUGUAAACCCGACGUGUGGGCCUUUCCUCUGUAUUUCCUGAUAACCCCCUGCAGAAAUAGACAAACACCAAAACUCGUGGAAUUCUGUCAGAUAAAACCCUAAUUUUGGAUGUUGGUUGCAUAUAGGUCCUUUUCCAUGAUUAGUUGACGGUUAAAUGUGAGCAUUAAACACCGUCAACAAGCUCCCCCAAGCUUAACCUUUGCUCGUCCCUGAGCAAGGACGGACUAAAGAGUUUCUGAAGUGGUUUCAUGCCUUAAAGGUACACAUGCGGUCAAUCAAGAUCUCAUCUCUGGGUUAGGGUAAACUGUCAAGACUUAAAACUUACUUAUUUUACCUUUCACCAUGGGACUUGUAACCGUCACUUAUGUCUUGAGCAGUUAAAAGAUAGAACGGUCUAGUCAAGCGCCAUGUCUCUUGUUCUUCGAUGAACUAUAGCUCUGGAGUUUUUGCAGAUUUUCAGAUAAAACUCAGAGAUUCCUUGUAUGACUCUCUUUAGUCUCUCUUUUGUGGUAUUUCUGGAUCCUUACCAAGGUAGUAAUGGUGUAUGCCUUCUCUCAAAGUAUGUGGUAUUUUUGGUAUGAGGCAUAGUGGUAUUGCCUUCUUUCUCACCCUACUCUAAUAAGGUUUUUGAUAUCUAGAGCUCAUAGGUGGGAGACAGCUAAUACAUACUUACAAGACAUUUAUUGCAUAGUCAAACCAUGGAUCCAGAGAAACAAGUCAAUAAGUCAAAUGAAGAUGUGCAUGUGUGGCGAAUGAAUGGUGUAUGGUGAUGAUGGUGAUAACAAUGGUGAAAGUCUAAUUCUACUUUUGCUCUUUUGAGGGGAUACAUACCUUUCUUGCUCUUUUGAAACUUUUUUUGAGGAGAAUGAGAUGCUCUAUAUUUACUUUUUCUUUUCUCUCAGGUGGGUACCUUGUACCCCUAAUUCUAGUGUCGGACACUUGUCCAUUUUUACCUCUCGUCUCACUUUUUCUUUUCUUUCGAGGUUCCGGGCACUUGCCCCUUUUUAUUUCCUCGUAUCUUCUUUUUUUUAAAGCACUCACCUCUUUAAAUAAUAUAGCAAGUGGUAGUAACCGAAAUAACUUGAGCAUUUAUUUCACAGGGGAAAAUAGAAAUAGGAGAAUGUUUUUGGCUAUUCUCUCCUAGAUAGGAGUAGAAUAACUUUGGGUGAAUCUGGAUAUGGAAAUGAGUGGAUGUAUGUGGAUGCGUACUUCUGGAGUAGAAGCAGCAUGUAUGAGUGAACGUGCA
rnacentral:lncRNA from 1 species